rnacentral:lncRNA from 1 species
AGGAGAAUCCCAACGCGUGCACCAUCGUCUGAGCAGUGUUUCGCCGUUAGGUGGUCACAAGUUACUGGUCAGAUCAGGGAAUCAAUAAGAUGACUUCUUAAUUUCUUACUUUGGGCAAAGUAGUCUAUUAACUAGGAGAAGGAAUAUGGUUCUUGUAGUGCUGUGUAGAUAUAUAGAUAAGCUACUAAGGUUGAUGAAACGGAUUGGUUCGAAUGUUUCGAUGCUUCGGCUUAAUUAUUAGAGUAUAUAUCUCUGACCCCUGCGUCUUGCCUUUUUGCCCUUAAUAUAUAACUCUUUCAUUUAAGAUAUACUGAUACAUCUUCAUAUCAUUUGGAAAUGUUAAAAAGUAUGACGAGGGAAAACAUAUAUAAAUUAAUGAGACUCAUAUUUAUGAUUAGUUCAAGUAUUGCCAAACCAAGGUAGCAAUUACCGUCCACCUCCCCUCUCUUGCUGCUUUGCUUAGACUUAUCCCAAAGAAUUUUAUCUUACUCCCUCGGUUCAAAUUGUUGGUCAUUUUAGCUUUUCUAUAUACAUAGAUUUUACUAUGUAUUUAGAUAUGAUGUAUAUCUAGAUGCAUAGCUAAAAGGUAUAUAUAUUUAGAAAAGUCAUAAACGACCUACAAUUUAGGUGUUUCUUAGGAUAAAAUUGAGAAAGUAUCACUCAAUGCAAGUUUGCCAAGUCAUAUAUAAAUAAUAGAAUCUUAUGUGUUUCUUAGGGACCCAUGCCAAUAAAUUGUUACACUUGUUCGAUGACAAAUGGUUCCAAAGCAUGUACAUGGAUUUCUAGUGUUGGACAUUAAGUCCAAGCCAUUUUUGGUCUCUCCUUAAAUCCCAUGCCACAUCAUCGAACAUUCCUAUGUGGCACUCAAUAAAUGUGUAUAAUGCUCAUCAAAUAUCACUAGGAUAGAAAUAAUUAGCCUAUAGGAUUUUAUAAACUAUAUGAUGCGAUACUUUUGAGCAUGUGUUUGAAAGUAAUUAAUUUCAUAUGCUAUUUGUUUUGUAGGCAUAAGCAAUACAAUAUAAAGUGUAUUAAUGUCGAAGUAGGAAGUGAGCCUAGGUCAACUGGUUAGGGUGGGAGGUGUGGUUGUGCACUCUUAACACUCAGGUUUGAAUCCCCUCUAACUCCUCUUAGAUUGAUCUAAUUUGUAUUGAUAGUCGGAGUGCAGCCUUAUAAAUGCCCUAUAUUUCAAAAUGGAGGAAGUACAAGCCACAUCAGUCAACAAGAAAAAUGGUUUCACUCCCACAUAUAUAUUGUAAUAGACCAAAAAGGAUAUAAUACUAAUUUGAAGCUAAUUUUUUGGGAUAUCACGAUGUUUUUCUAUUUUGGAUAGCAGGUAUAUUUCGUGGAAUGUAAGAUGGGUAAUAUUCCUCGGAUAUCAUAUUAUCUGGAUAUUUAAUUUGGGUAGUGGUAGGCCUAAGAGUUUGAGUGAAGCACAUUUUUUUAUUUUCAUUUUCUGUUGCACUUUUAAGUUUGAAUAAAAAAGUAUGUUCCAAGGAUAAUUUCACUAAACUAUUAUAAUAAAUUUCAAAUAAAUCUUAAAAUUAAUUUUGAAUACAAGAAAAUUUCAGGGAUUGGAGGAAAAUUUAAGCACGUUUUUUUUGAAAAGGUGAGAGCUUAUAUUAAAGAACAAAAUAUGUUUACAAUUAAAAUCUAAAGCUGCAAAGGCCGGAAUACCUUUAGAAACAAAGAAACAAAACCAGAUAAGAGCUCUCUCCUACCAAGAUGUCCUAGUUCACGAGCCACUCCAUACAAAACGAGAUAAGAGCUCUCUCCUACCAAGAUGUCCUAGUUCACAAGCCACUCCAUUUGCACUUCGAUCGCACUUUAAAACUUUGAAACACUGGAACAUUCUCAGCAUUCUUUUUGCUUCUUCAAUGAUGAUGCAGCUAGGGGAUCGAUUUAGAGUACUAUCAUUGAGUGCUUGUACUGUGCUGAGGCAGUGUGCUGAGGCAGUCUGACUCCAGCCAAAUAGGUCCCGUGAAAACCAAGCCGCAUGAUACAAAAGGUAUAUUUAUUUUUGGUUCUAUUGAUAACUUCAACUUAAAAAAACACAAAGUGUUACCAUUGUUUUCAUUGCUAUGUCUUUGUACAACUAUCUAUGUUAAGCGUCGAUAAUACAACAACUAUUUGGUACCUAUAUAUAUCUAUGAUGCAGGUAAAUUGUUAUUUUGCUUCCUUAAGCAUACUAGUUGAAAUUCGAACGUUUGAGUGCUAAAAUGAUUAGAGCACGUGUGAUAUGUAUGGUUGUUGCAUUUACUCUAUGUCCAAAGAAAUAUUUGGGACUUUAUUAUUCGCAUUUGACUCGUCCCGUAUUUAAUACAGAUUUAUUCACAUUCAUAACUGAUGUAAUCUAUGUUGGUAUAUGUAUUUUAACACUAUCUUUCUUUCUGAUUCUAAUAAAGUAGAAUGCAAAACGAAUAUGGGUCAAUAAUAUGCGUUCGUAUCUCCCAUUGCUCCCGCCUAAUCUAAUGAUAUCUCUUCUUGGCUUCGGAUCUGAUUGUCGUAUAUCGAACAUACUAGCAGAAUUGCCCGCGCAUUGCUACGGACCUCUACCCUCUCUAAAAUAAUUAUCUGAUUAUUUCGGAUCAUGUUUCAUGGUGCUUUACCACUUUUCUUCUUCUCAUUCCCGAAAUUCUGCACAAGAAAAAUUAAAGAAGUAGAUAAGCUAUCACAAGGAGAAAAGUUCAUGGAUUUUAUACUAUGUGCUAUUACAAGAUUGUGAUCCGUCACUUUUUUAAAUCAAUCUAUAUUUACCCCUUCUCAUUUUCUUUUUUACUCCUCUCCUUUUUCCCACCUUAUCUGUUCAGCCUUCCUUAUCUUCUCUUCGGUCUCCACGCUGCUAGUCCAGCCACGCUGACCAGCUCUACUCCCCACCUUUACUCGCUUGUCAUGUGUUGCUGCUGCUACCCGAUCUCCACCACUGCCCGGUCGACGAAGCUAGUACUGCUUCGCUGCAACUGUCCCCCACGCUGCCGUGUGAGGGACACGCUGUUGCCAGGCGAGGUGCCUGCACUCGCGCUGUCCUACGCGCUGGCAUGCCAACCAUGGCUGCAGCGAGGCGGGGAGAUGCACACAGGCCAUGCCAGCGAUCUUCCAGGCCGCACUCCUCUGCCGAUGCGGUGCCACUGUGGGCUGAGGCCGCCAUUCUCAACCACACUACCCGCUGUAGCUGCUCGAUCAUCCUUCUCCUCCCCCGCCAGAUCUGCAGUGCCCGAUGGGAGAGAAGGGUCUUUCGGUGCAAGGAACUUCAUCCUCGACCUCCCGGCGAGCUCACAGCGCAACUGCCGAGAGCAGCACCAGCAUCCGGGUCGAAGACGACGAGAUCUAGUCCACCAGCACCACUACGACGCCGCGCUUAGCCUGGGCCUCUGCGUGUACAGGGCAGCUUCUCCAGCUGUUGCCGGGACUGCCACCAACGGAGGGGGAAGAAGCAGCAGCAAGCUCCCCGUCGUGGUUGCCUUCCAUGACGGCGGCUUCUGCACCAACUCCUAUGCGACACGCUGCGACUCCCUGGGACGCGGCGAACUCCGGGAGGGAGCUCGAGUGGUGCAGCGCGGGGGAGGGAGAUAGACGGCGGCAGAGCGGGAGGCCAACUCCUUGGGCGGGUGCAGGCGCAGCUCGAGCGGCGAGGCCGGGGUGGCGGCGAACUCCGGGAGGGAGCCCGAGUGGUGCGGCGCGGGGGAGGGGGACAGACGGCGGCGGAUCGGGAGGCUUACUCCUUGGGCAGGCGUGGGCGCAGCUCAGAGCGGGGACGGCGCAAGCGAAGCGGCAACACAGGCGAGGCGGCGGAGGCGGAUGCGUGUGCGACUGUGGAGAGGAGAUGAGGAGGGCAAUUGGAGGGACGCGGCGUGGGCAUGGUUAACGAUAUGGACCCACCUAUUUGUGUGGUAAAUAAUAAUUAGGCUCACAUGUCAACGAAAUUAAGUUGGACCAAAUGAAAAAAGUGGGCAGAGGUGGUCCGCACUUUAUAAAUAGGCAUAGGUAUAGAUUAUUCAUGCUGGCUUCCUAGAGCGCAUUCUGUGGGCCAAAUCUAAUGAUCUGUCUCGUUCGGGACCUCCCUAGAAGGGGUUAGGCCCAAUGGUUUACUUUUUUGGUUUUCGAAACCGGCCCAAUAGUUUACCAACACCACGAUUUGACGGUAAUGGGCUUAAGAGCCUAAACCCUAGAGCAGAGAGAUUUUUGCAAGAAUUCCCUAACCCCCCGCAGGCGAAUGCUGCUGCUGCAAGGCCGGCCCUCCUAAACCCCGCCGCCGCCGUCCUCCCCACCGCCAUGCUUCUUCUCCCCCUAUGCCCCAUCCCACCGCCCACCUCCCCGUCCCCGUCCCCCUCCGCCGCCUCACCCGCAAACCCUCCCUCGCCGCCACCACCGCCCGCCGCUCCCACUGCUCCCCUUCCGUCUCCUCCUCAUCGUCCGACGACGAAUCACCGCUCGCCGCUGAGCUCUUCCCGGCCGCCGGCGCGCCCACCCUCCUCUCCGUCGCACGCUCCCUCGCCGUCGCAUCCCCUCCUCCGCCCGCCGCUGCCGUCCUCAGCUUUCUUCGCCGCCUCCCCCACGACGCCUCCCCGCACAUCUUCCCCCACCUUGUCGCCGCCCUCGCCCGCUCGCCCCGCCCGAUCCUCGCUCUGCGCCUCUUCCUCUCCCCGCCCACCCCUGCCGCCACCACCCACCACUCCUUCAAUUCAGCGCUCGUCCGGUUCCCCCUCCCGCCUCAUCUCCUACCGGCCUUCUUCUCCCAUUCCCUCCGCCGGUUCCCAGGCCUCACUCCCACUCUGCUCUCCUUCAACCUCCUCCUCAAGUGCAUCUCUUCCUCUCUGGUCCCAAGGAACCCCAGCAUCUAUCUUGCAACCGCACUGCGAAUCCUUCACGAUGCCAUUCCAGUGUGGAAUCUUGCGCCGGACAAGUUCACCUACUCUACGGUCGUGUCAGCACUGUCCGAUGCAGGGCAUGUGGAGGAUGCGGUGGCGCUGGUGCAUGAGAUGGUGGUCGAUGGGGUGGUGGCGGCCGAGGCUUUUAAUCCUGUGCUGAGAGCAAUGCUGCGUGCAGGGGAUGUCAAUGGGGCAGCCAAAUUGUUUCGGUUUAUGCAGCUAAAGGGUUGCACACUGACAGCAGCAACAUACAAUGUGCUGCUGCAUGGUUUGUUAUUGUGCAGUAAAGUGAAGGCAGCGAUGGGCAUCAUGAGAAGAAUGGAGAAUGAGGGAAUUGUGCCAGGGUUGAUGACAUAUGGCGCAGUGGUGGAUGGGUUGGUAAAAUGUGGAAGAGUGGAAGAUGCAUGGAAAGUCGCUGAGGAAAUGGGCAACAAGGGGCUUCCACCUAGUGAAUUUGUGUUCUCAGCCGUGAUUACCGGGUUUUGCAGGUCAGGGGAGGUUGACAGGGCAUUGAGGGUGUGGGAAACAAUGGUGGCAGCUACAGUAAGGCCAAACAUUGUUUUGUAUUCAGCAAUGAUUGAUGGUCUUGCCUGUUGUGGGAGGAUGACUGAAGGUGAAAUGUUAUUUGAUGAGAUGGUUGAUGCAAAAUGUGUACCAAAUGUCAUGACAUAUAGCUCAAUGAUUCGAGGUUAUUUCCAGAUUGGAGAUUCAUCACGAGCUCUCUCUACAUGGGAGGAGAUGAUAAGGGUUGGCUGUGUGCCAACUGCUAUUAGUUACAGUAUAUUGAUCACUGGGAUGUGUAAUGUAGGGAGAUUAAAAGAUGCUAUGAUGGUCUGGAAACAUAUGCUUAGCCGUGGCUGUGCACCUGAUACAAUAGCUUAUACUUCAAUGAUCAAGGGGUUAUGCAUGUCUGGGAUGGUUGAUGGUGGUCUCCGGCUUUUUAAUGACAUGCUGGCGAAGGGUGAUGCCAAACCCGAUGCUAUCAUUUAUAAUGUUGUAUUGGAUGGGCUAAUUCGCACAAAUAACCUUGCUCGGGCAAUGGACAUGCUUAACCAGAUGCUUGAUCAAAGAUGUGAUCCAGAUGCAGUAACAUGCAAUAUUUUCUUGCGGGAGGUUGGGGUCGCAGAGGCGAAAGGGAGAGAAUUUUUAGAGGGGCUGGUCAUGAGGCUAUGCAAUAGAGAAAGGUAUAGGGCAGCUGGAGAUGUUUUGAUGGUGAUGCUGGCUAAGUAUAUUGUGCCAGAGGCUGCCAUUUGGCAUACUAUUGUCAGAGGAGUUUGUCAGACUAAGAGAGUUCAGAAAGUGGUUGAUAAUUGUUGGGAUGAGAUUUGGAAGCCUUAAAGAUUAUAUAUAUUUUUUAUAUACCGAUUGAGCACACGCUUUGGAGCUCGCAUGCUGGAGUGCUUUUAAUACUCCAUUUGUUGUAAGUUGUAUCACUAACUCAUUCAUUCAUAACAAAAGUUUUUGUUACAAUAAAGCGAUUUCCAUUGUUCACUAUGCUUAUGCUUCCAGCACUUUUUAUCUUUUAUUUUUUAUGUCAAUAGUAUGGUGUUUUCUCUAACCAAUGGUUUUGCGGACCUGUAUAAGUCGCACUUGUCCUAAUAGCUUGUCUUCCAUGAAUUUCUGGUGUCAGUUGCAAACUGUAAUGCAUGUUCUAACUGAAAGCCCUGAUUAUAUUGUUUAAAAAUUCAAGAUUGAGUAAUCUAGAUCUUUCUGUUUAUUAGGACACUAGGAAACAAAUGAUUAGAUCUCUUUUAGAAAGGCAAGGAAAUAUGGCAGUUUAAGCUCAUUUUAACCUGUAUAUAGGAUGGUAAGUGCAAACUAUGUUAACAGACAUGUUUGACCUUUUUGUUUCUAAGAAUUAGAACCUCUGGGGCUCAAUUGAUUACUGUUAGCAAGCUAUCGAUUAAUUCUACCCCCUGUCAAUCAGCAGCUGCUAGAGAUAGGUAAUAUAUUUCUUUACUAAGCAUCCUUACCAUUGCCAAAUAUUGAAUCAAUGAUAACUCAAGCACAUUUUUUUUUAUCAUCCCAUUAUUUCAGACAUUUUCCUUGGGAAAAAGUCCAUUUAACUCCCCUCACAUAUCCACUAUGUCCACUUAACCCCCUGAAUAAAAUUUUGGCUCACUUUACUCACUUGAACUAUUUCACUUGGUCCAAUCUACCCCCUAAUUAGAUUUAUCUUUUUUGUUUCUCCGUGUAUAAGUUGAAUUUUGAGUUCAAAUUUUGUGAGUAGAUACAAAACAUGAUGCCUUAUGUUAAAAAAUUAUAUUAAGAAUUUUUCAUGGUUGUUUUCAUAGGUUAGGAAUAUUUAAUAUGAAAUUGAUCUUAGAUAUACAAAACUGUAUGAAAAGUAAUCAUGAAAAAUUUCUAAUGUAUUUUUCUAACGUAGAGCAUCAUGUUAUAAGUCAACUAACAAAAUCUGAAAUUAAAACUCAAUUUGUACGCGAUGAAAUAAAAAAGAGAAAUCUAAUUAAGGGGUAGAUUGGACCAAAUGAAAUAGUCCGGGGGAGUAAAGUGAGCCUAAAUUUUGCUUAGGGGGUUAAGUGGACAAAGUAAAAAAGUGAGGGGAGUAAAAUAGGCUUUUUCCUUUUCCUUGAUGAAUUUUGCAUUUGAAAACUGAUGGGACAAACUUUUAUGUGCUGAUAUUUAUUCAAGUUGAUGCAAAACAUAAACAGUAGAGUGUAGAGAAAGUGUUUUUAAGGUUGCCUUUGCUAUUGAUCACAUGUUUUUGGUUCUACUUUGAUUUUUAGUGAUCAGGAGCAUUGUUAUUAAGGUGAUAAUUCAAGAAAUCUCACAACAGUCAUACUGUCUAAUAACAUAUUAUGUAAACAGUAAUAAAAUCUGGAGUAUCACACGUUAUAUGUAAACUCUGCUAAAAAAGGCAGCUAUGAUCUAUGAUGGUCAAGUAGAUCAUUUAAAUCCUUCAGUUAUGGAUGGCCAGACAUACUUUCUCAUUGCUGUAUGCAUAUCCAACAUGAUGUAGAGAAAGCUAGUAAUAGUAAAUACUUCUGCAUAUUGUCUCACUUGUCAUUGUUUCUGAACACCAAAAAUGAGGCUUUGCGGUUUAUUGCAGAUAAUAACAUUCAUGUUAAGUGAUUCAACUUAUACUAUUGUCUUAGUUUGUUUACAGCAAAAAAUGCCUUGCGUACCACACACCACCACAUAUCUUAGCUGCCAUAGGGAUGACUAUGUAUGCAAAGUUGCUAGGCCUUGUGGGUAGUUAUGACAAAUUGACAACAGAAGAAUCCCAUUAGAAUACAUAGUAUUCUGGUGGAUGUCAGUGACGUAUCAGUAGUAGCUUAGUUGUUUAAUGUAUUCGUUCUGAGUUACUCUACAUCUGAAUUGAUUAUAGAUUUUCAUGUUUCUUGCUGCCCUUUUUCUUGUGAUUCCUUGUUGAGUUGUAUAGUGUUGUUUGGAAUAGUUUACUGCAUGCAAGGUAAACCUAGGCUUCAUGGAUGGCAUAUUAUUCCAAUGGAUGACAUGUGUGAAAUUAGCUUAGUUAUUGUAUUAUAUCAAUUCAGAUUCAGAGUAGUUGGAUACUUAUGCUCGGAACGCUAACCCUUCGGAGUUCAGUAGCUAUUAUAGCUGAAAGGUCAUUAUGGAUGAAUUGUUGCAUGUGACUUUUCAAUUCCCAAGAAGCAUUUAGCAAAUGUUCAAAUGUGUUAAACAAACUAUAUCUUUUACUCCUGUUAGACAACUCAAAAUUAGGCAUAUUAGUUACCAGAUGGCAUGGCGACUUGGCUCUCUCCAUUAGUCCUUCGCACCUAGAACUAAUCAUGUAUUUUCUCUGCUUCUUUCUCCUGUGAAUUUUAAUGCGUCUGGAAACGCACAAGGUAUAAUUUUUCUUUUGGUGCAUAUGUAAGAUAGUCAAAUGCUACUCUGUUUUAGAAUUUACCUUAGUAUCCGUAUGUGAAGACAACAUGAAGAUAUACCAACUUCACCUUGCAUUGUUUGCGUAGCGUAUUUAAAUUGUGUGAGUGUUAGGGACUUGGAGGACCCGGCUCGGCCCUUAGGGGUGGUCCAGAGGCACGCCAGCGCAGCCGCCGGCCUCCAGGGCGAGUCGGAAGAGGAGGCGCCCUAGAGGGGCGCCGCACAUGGCAGCCGCUGGCCCCACCGGCAAUAUACUUUUGGAGUCUUUGAAUAAUAGGAAAGGUUAAAGAGUCUAGAGACAAUUAGAGAGUUUGUUUAGGAAAGGAUGGAUCCAAUCUAUAAGGAAUCCAAUCCUAGUUAUCUUAGGAGUCAAGUCAUAGGUCCCUAUAUAAUUGAGAGAGUUGUACUCAUUGGAAAUCAAGAAGGAAGAGAAUUCUCUCAACCCUCCUGCCUUCCUUUCUCCCUGCGCCAACCGCCCCUCCCCCCUGCGCCGUCCCUCUCGCCCUCCUGCGCCGCCCUAGCCGCCCCCUCCUCUAAGAUCCUAACACAUGGUAUUCAUAGACCAGGAACUAGCCCACCAUGUCCACCUCCAAGCCUGCCACCAUGGAUGACCUCAGCAAGCAGAUGGUUGAGAUGCACCUCCAUCAACAAGCUGCUUGCCACCAUGAAGGUGGUGGACGGGCGCCUGACGUCCCUGGAGAACGUCCCUGGAGAAGAAGCCCGCCGCGUCGACCACAAGCAGACCCUGAAGGCAAGGAGGCGGCAGAUGCCAAGGCCAAGGCACCUGCUGAACUGCAAGAGCAGUCGUUGGCCGACCUGGCCAGGUGCGCGUAGUAGCCUUCGCUGAGCGCAAGUUCCUCUUCGACAAGGUGAGGGAAGCAGGAUCAUCCUACAGCGACGAUGCGACAUCGUCGACAAGGUGGUGAAGGAUCUGUUCCCCACCCCGAUAGAUGGAUCUCAGCCGGAGCAACCGACAGACGUGCCACCGAACUUCUACUCCAUGUUGGUGCCUCGCUACCACAAGAUGAACUUCCCGAGCUAUGACGGGGAGGACGACCUGCUGCAGUGGCUCAACAGAUGCGAGCACUUGUUCACCAGGCAAUGGACGCCAGAUCAUGAGAAGGUCUGGUAUGCAUCGUUCCACCUCACAGGCGCCACUCAACUGUGGAACAUGCGUCUCUCCCAGGAGAGCCCAAUCACAGAUUGGAGCAAGAUUGGAGCAAAUUCACCCCCCCUCCAGACGCUACCUGCUAGGCGAGUUGGUCGCCUUGCGGCGGACCGGCACUGCGCACAUUCCUCGCGCACGUGGCGCGCGCGGGACCCCUAGGCAAGGAGCAGCAGGUCAACAUCUACACCGCUAGGCUAGGCAAGCCCCUCCGCACCAAUGUCGAGCUGUAGGACCGGCGGGACAUGGAGCAGGCCAUGGCGCUCGCUCGGGCCUAUUAGCGGCGCCGGUGGUAGAACCACCCAAGACGAUGACGACGGCAUCAUCAGCAUGCCCCCCCCCUCGCGCACAACUACGACCAAGCCAAAGAGUAUGACUACACCAGCAGCAGGCACAACAACGACGACAGCUACUACGGGGGCUCGCUCCUUCAAGCGCCUCACAUCUGACGAGAUGGCAAAGAGGAAGUGCUAAGGCCUUUGCUUUAACUGCGACGAGCAAUUCAGCAGAGGGCACAAGUGCAAGCAGCUGUUCGAGAUCACCAUCGUCAACGACUUCGAUGAUGACGACGAGCCAUCACUGAUGGUGAUCACGGCUGGCCCCAACGGAGGUCUCCAGGGCUGGUGCACCAUGCGCCUGGUGGGCGCUGUAUUCGGGGAGGGCGCACGUGUCGUCAUCGACACGGGCGCCACACACAACGUCGUCGACUUCAGCUUCGCCUGUCACAUAUAAGUCUCGGAGAGGCGCAUCAACGUCGGCAUCACCAUCGGCGACGGCUCCAGGGUGCGCAGCCGUGGCCUAUGCCGUGGGGUACCCAUCCGAUUGGACCGCGAGGUCUUUGCCCUCGACGCCUACAUCUCCACCCUCGACGGCGAGACAGACGUCAUCCUUGGUACCCCGUGGCUCGCGUCGUUAGGUCCCAUCACUUGGGAUUUCAGGACGCUAACCAUGAGCUUCAGGCGAGGCGACCGCAUCGUCCCGUUCGUGGGAGUCUUACCAGCACCAGCACCAGCUACUCUACUACCAGCCCCGCUAGUCCAGGCGGCCCUGCCAGCUCCAUCGGCAGCAGCACUAGCAGCAUCAUCGACUGCACCACCAGCCCCACAGGCGUACAGCUCCAGAACGGCGCCAUCGACCCCGACUUGCGCCAACAUUGAGGGGUUAAGGAGUGGGAACGCGUGCGAUGUGAUCUCUCCAUCUUUAGCAACAUCCAGAGGGCAGUUCAAGAUGAGCCUGAAUUGGCCGCCGUCAGGCGGGGAAUCACGUCACGCUAGGCAACUCGCACCUAGACCAUCAACGACAGCGUCAUCUUCUUCGCCGGGCGCGUCUACCUGCCAGCCUUGUCACCCCUGCUGUUGACACUCAUCCGCUCACGUCUCGCAGUCGGCGGCCACACGAUGACGAGUAUGGCGACAACUCGCUCUUUCCCAGCCAUGGUGAUCCUGACACAGGAGUGGCCACGAGCGUCCCUGGUACAACUUGACGUUCUCUUUUUGGACCAGCUAGAUGUGAGUUCCUCGUUGCAGGCCGCAACUUCUUCCGCGUCAACACCGAGAUGGGUGUGCCAGAUAUCUCGCCGCUACCUCGGGACGCCUCAGCUGUACUGUUCAGGGAGGUAUUGGACCUCACAGCGCCAGGUGCACGGCCCCGUACAUCCUUCGUCUACAAGGUGCCGGGUGUUCUCCUGAGAGGGGCUACUAGCCCUGGGCAAAUUACCCGCUAUCCAAUACCCGAACCCGAACUACCCGAACCCGUACCCGAACUACCCGAACCCGAUCUACCCGGUUACAAUUUCGGAUAGUGAUUCCAGAUACCCGAAAUUAGUUCGGGAAAUUCGGGUAACACCUCCCGGUACCCGAUUUACCCAUAUUACCCGAUUUACAAAAUUUGGUGAAAUUGUAUUAUUUAAAGCAUGUGACUGACUCUGUGAGACUAAGUCUGUGACCCUGUGUGUGUGUGACUCUCUGUAAUAUGUAUGACUUCAUGUGUGACAGAUUGUGAUUUAUGAGUUUGUGACUGAAUGCUGUUGAAAUUCUGUGUCAAAUGUUGGUUUUUUGAAUAUCGGGUAAUUCGGGAAUACCUGAACCCGAAUUAUCGGGUACCCGAAAUUUCGGGUAUUUGUUUUUCGGGGCUGAAUUCGGGUAACAUGUCCCAUUACCCGAAUUUCUUAUUACCCGAACUACCCGACCCGAAAAAUUCGGGUAACCCGAACGCCCAGGGUUAGGGGCUACAGCCACGCAUCUUCAAUUGGCUUCCUCCACCGACGACACUGGCAGUCGACAUGGGGGUAACGCAGGCCAUAGCUGCACCAGGGCCCAACAGCAACCGUGGGAGGCAACGCCACCUGCUGGCCGCCCACGACUUCAUCCUUCAUGGCUACAUCGGCGACCUGCGCUACUAUCUCCACUUCCACAUCGUCAGGACACUACGCAACAUCACCACCAUCUUGCUCGUGGGGCCGCCGCCCUAGCUGCCCCCCUCCUCUAAGAUCCUAACAAUGAGGUCAGCCUGCUAGCCCACUAGGCCCGCCGUGCAAAACUGUCUUUGCGGGUACCUGCAGAGACACGUUUUGCAAGUGGGCUUGAAAUGUGCAGCCUGCAAAGUCUUGCAGGAUUUUGUAGCCAGCCUGUGAGAUCCUGCAAUGUGCCUGCCACACCUGCAAGGUGGGGCGGCAUUCGCUCGGCAUUAUGCUGUGUGGUGACGGUGCGCUGCAUCCGUAUCGGCAUUACACUGUGGGAGUGCAGCUGGUGCCAUGCCACUGCCGUCGCUGCCGGCGGCCCUCCGGCGAGUGUCACGUGCUGCCCCACCUAUUCGUUCGGCUCCUCCGCUUGCACGACAGUACCCACUGCUACCCCACCAGCUCCUCUGCCUCUCGUUUCCGCUUGUACGAUGGCACAAUCCUCUCGUGUCCCGUCGCCGCUGGUGAGAUCACCCAUCUCCAUCUCCUUUUCCCUCUCCCGUCCCUCUCUCCACCUCAACAUUUUCUUCAAACCUAAUGUUGGCCUGUGUUAUUGAUUUUGAUAUAAAUCUCAGUGAAAGACAAGCUCUGCGAGAGGGAGUUGGGGAGAAGACCUACAUCAAUUGGGGCAGGAGCAUCAGAUUUUUAAGGUGUGUUUUGUUCUUUCUCCUUUGGCCCUUUCAUGAAGAAUGUUCAUGCUUUGUUGUAAUGUUUUGUUUCAAAAGCCGGUUAUUUCAAGUAGUGUUUCUCUAGAAUACAUUUUUUUUUUGGGAACAUCAAGGGUUACUGGAGUUAAAAUUUGCCUACAAGCAGAUAAUUAUCAAAUAUAACCCUUAGUUACUGAAGUUGAUUACUUAACUUCCAUAUGCAUUGCAUAUGCAUAGAAUGUUGAACGAUUGGUGUGGGAGUUCCAGAAUCCAGACAAUGUGGCCUUCGUGUAUUAAUCUUUGAAGUGGAAACCUAACAGAAUGUGAAAUUGGAGUUUUAGAGAUUAUAUAUACUUUUCCUUUGAACUAUGCUUAAGCUACUUUUAUUUCCUUUUAUUCUGCAGUUUUACAUGUUUCCUUUUAUACUUUUCAUAUGCAGGUACCAUGGCAACAGUGCCAUCCAAUGUCAACCACAGGAAGUUGGGGGCUCCUCAGGUUGCUCACCUUCGAUCAGCUCUCCAUGAACAAAGCGCAUUGGCUUUCCUGCAUCCACUGUAGCGUUCGAGUCUGCAUUCAGUACAGGUGGACGAAUCAUCAGUGACCAUAGGACUAGGCUUUCGGGCAACACAGUUAAGCUUUGAUUUCCUUCCAAGAUUGUAUUAGGGCAGUUGAUAAUUAAUUAUUUAUUUUUUGCAUUGAUUUAUUCAUUUGACUCGUAAAAACCUAUUAACUUUCUUAUUUUAUAGGUACAUCUUACAUGGGACAUCAUGAAUAUUAACAGCUCGGGUAGCAGCAUUUUAGAACUUGGAGGUGCAUGAUCACCUGAAGGACAAGGUCAGCCUCUAUGCUACUGCCAUUUUCUUGUGACAUCACAUAUUCAAUUGAAAAACCUAUUGGUAGAAGAAUAUAAUUUUCUUGUGACAUCACAUCUUAGCUCGCUGUUGUGUCAGGUGCGUCGUUCGUCGGGGGCGGCCGGCGUAGAUUGUAGCCGAAGGAGGUGUGAGGGCGAGGGGAGAAGAGCCGCCGUCGACCCGUGGUUGCCGGCGACUUUGCUGCUGGCCGAUCUGCAGGGAGGAGUUGGAGGUGGUCCAGUGUGGAGGCGCAGGGAGAGGUGGAGAGGCAGGGGGCAGGGUAGGGUUUAACCUUUCCCUUGCUGAUCCAAAAUAGAUUACACCCUUUUAGUUUUAUAGUGACUCCCCUCUUAACUCCCAAGCAAUCUAAGGAUGGAAUCCUUCCAUCUUACAACUCAAUCUCUAAUUAUUACCUAACUUAAACAAAAGGACUUUCUAAUACUUGAAUAGACUAAAGAUAGAAGGGAGGGGGCUGUUGGGCGCCUAGACUCCCUAGUAUGGUGCGGCCAGGGCUGCAGGUGUCCCUGCACGCCUGCCUACUGCUGUUGGGCCUCCCUGGCCCAUGGCGCCAGGGCCGUGGCUGCCCAUGCACAUGACAUGCUGGCUUUAGUGUUUGCCUGUUUGGAGUUUUAGGGCUUAGGUUCUAAGGUAGGGGUGUCGGACAACUGGAAUUCAGUACAACUAUAGGGUACGUGGCUACUUGUCAAGUGAUAGUCUUGUGCUGUGAAUAUAAUCCUGAAACUAAAACUUAUGUGCUUGCCCUUGUUGAUGCAAGGUAGCUUUGCAGGAACUGUAUCGUUGAUUUAAAUUUUCCAUACUCCUUGUGGUGUCCUGUUGUAAAAUUUGACCCAUUGUUUGUCAUUUGGUUUACCUAAUGAUCCCUCUUACUGAUCAGCUGGAGUAACUAGAUAUAUUUUGUGAUAGGAAAUGCAUCUUUUGUAUCAUGGGGCAUUCGUGUUCAUGCCCUGUUUUGAAUGUCAAUGGUGAUUUUACCCUCGUUUUUUCAACUUUAUGAUUUUGCCCUUACUUUUUGAAAUCGAAGAGAGUUUGCUCCUAUUCUGUGAAGUGCACUUAAUGGUGUUAAAAUUGGUACAAAAAGAUAAGUUUGCCUUUGCGGAUUUACCCUUACUAUUAUGAGUUCUUUGUGACCUUACCCUUGUUUUGAAAAAAAAAAUAGGACAGCAUUUUGACAGGUUUUAACAAAAGAUUGUAACUAAUCUGACACAUGUCGACCAAUCUGACAUGGAUAUUUGGAUCUGACACAAUUUGUUAGAGUUUUGACAACAUCAUGGCACAAAUAUUUGACAGAAAAAGCACCAGAUCACAUAUAUUAGACCAACAUAAAGCACCAGAUGACACAUAUGUCCAACAUAAAGCACCAGAUCACAUGUAUUGGACAACAAAACCACUGGAUGUUCACAUUUCAUCCCAUCAUGUCCAUACCACAACCUAAGUUCACAUGUCAUCCCAUCAUGUUCAGGUUACAACCCAACAAGUUCACGUGCCAUCCCAACUAGUACAGAAUGUACAUAGCAAAUGGAAAACAUGACACAAGCAUCUCUGCCUAGCAAUGCAGCCAAGCUUCUUGAGUUUCCUCCUCUUCCUCUUGCUCUUCCACCUGCAUCUGAGCCUGCACCUGCUCCUCUCCCUUCCCCUUCCAGUUCACCUUCCCCUUCUAGUUCUUGUUGCACUUGCACUUCAUAUGACAAGAGUAAAAGUGUGUUAUUAAACAAGUUGGUGGUACAGAAAUGAAUAAAUAAGCAAAUAAAUUGAAAUGAGUAUCAAUCCAUGACUUUGAUGCUUGUGCUACAUUUGGGUCAUUGCUCCCUCAUGAUCCAUUUUGUGAAAUGAGUAUCAAUCCAUGACUCACAUUGAUGCUUGUGCUACAUUUGGGUCAUUGCUCCCUUAUGAUCCAUUUUGUGAGGAUGGUAGCUUUCUCUUUGACUACGAUCCAUUUUGUGAAGAUGAUAGCUUUCUCUUUUGACUAGUAGUAGGACCUCCUUGGCAAUGCUUGGCUGUAUGGUCUAGAUCAUGACAUUAAGAACAUGGUCUCUGUCUCUUACUAGUGCUAGCCUCAUCAUAUACUUUGAUCCUAGAUUUUCUUGGUCUCCCAGGUUUCCUUCUUAACUUGGGCUUCUUAAUUUUGUAGCCCAAAUUAACACGUGGCCAGCUGUCAUUGGAUUGAAAGUACUUGCAUAUGCCUUUCUGAACCUCUCAACAGAGAAGUAUUCAUGGACAAAGGCAUCCAUUUGCACAUGCCUACUUAGUUUUGCAAUGAAAGCUAAAGUAUGGCUAUAUGGCUUUCCAGUAACUUGCCAAGCCCUACAACUACAUGUCUUUUGCUCCAAGUUUACAACAUGCCUAAAUCUGUUCACAGUUACACAACUAUCCCAACCCCACAUAUUUGUAGGGAUACGAGGUAGGCUACACUAGCGCAAAUCAAAAAUUUCUACCGCGUAAAACCAAGAAGAACUGCCGUAUAAGGAUCACGGGAUUACCACUCGACGCACUAUUGGUGCGGAAGAUGUAGAUAUGUGUCGAUGCAGUGAAGACGAUCACGUAGUCGUACGUAGUCGAUCAACGUAGUCGUACGUAGUCGAUCACGUCAACGUCCAGCAGCUCCUCAGCAGCUCGUCCACGUGCAGCAAGAUCGCCCCCGGUGCCGCGGCUCGUCGUCGGCUCGUCGUGGCUCGUCGGCGGCUCGUCCAAGUGCUGCAGGCGCAACACCUUCAAGGUAUCCACACGUGCAGGGAGGAAGCGUCGCAAGCUGGAUUGCUAGAUCCGCGAGUUGCAACAGGUGAGGGCGUGGGAGGAGCGGCAGGAGUGUUUCGCCAAAAAGGUGUAAACCCUAGGGCGCCCCCACCCCUCUAUUUAUAGAGGUUCCUAACGGGCCUCUGGGUCCGAGGCCUAUUAGUACUUCUAAACCUAAUCCAACUCGGAUCAGAUCCGAAUUGGGCUUCCAGCCCCUUAAGUGUGUGACCCUAUGGGUUCGGAUACGUAUAGACAUGGCCCGAGUACUCCUACUUAGCCCAAUAGUCGGUAGCGGCCUCUAGCCAAACGUGCCAACUCCUAUACGCACACGAAGAUCAUAUCAGACGAACCAUCACAACUUAAUAUACAUGCUAUUCCCUUUGCCUCACGAUAUUUGGUCUAGCUUCAAGCUGACCGCUCUUUCUUGAUUCUGUGAUUCGGAAUCCCUUUGUAGGUUAAACUCUUAACCGUACGUAGCAUGGCCAUGCAUUUUCGGAUCCGAUCACUCGAGGGGCCCAGAGAUAUCACUUUCAAUCAGAGAGGGGCAAAUCCCAUCUUGAUUGACCAUGUCUCAUAGCAUGCUUCUUGACAAACCCGAAAGCUACCUUUAUAACUACCCUGUUACGGCGUAGCGUUUGAUAGCCCCUAAGUAGGUCGAUCCACAUCUAGAAUACAUGCGACAAUCUCAGGUCUAAGACAAAGCGUAUAUGUUGUUUAAAGAGAGAACUACUUCUCGUGUUGGGUCAGUCCUAGCACAUGUCUCCACAUGUGUCCACAUUAUUAGUUCAACAUCUCCAUGUCCAUGACUUGUGAAACAUAGUCAUCAACUAAUACAUGUGCUAGUCUAAUAUUCAUGUGUGUCCUCACAUGAACUCCGACUAGGGACAACUUUAGAAUAAUCAUACAAGUAAAGAGUUUCACAUACAAUUCACAUAAUUGCAAAUCAAUUCAAGUAGCCUUCAAUGGAUAUUCAAUGAACACAACAUACAAAUCAUGGAUACAAAUGAAAUAUCAUCAUCUCUAUGAUUGCCUCUAGGGCAUACCUCCAACAAUAUUAGUACCUCAUGAUCCUUGAUAGUCUUGAAUUUAGCAUUUAGAGCAUUAGUAAUAGAAGGGAUGAUUAUUCCAGACAUUUUUCUAGCAAUUUUAUCUCUCAAAACAAAUUUCAAUGAUCAUCUGUCUUAUCCUAUCAUGCAUGUCUACAAUUUGAAAAUACUUGCAUUUAGACACCCAACUAUUGAAAUUCAGAGAGGUUGUUGUUGAUGUAAUCUAUAUUGCAUCCUCGCUGAAUUUGCUUCUACUCCACACAUAUGGAUGAUUUUCAUCCAACCAUGCAACUGCAUUGGGAUCUUUCUCCUCUAUCUUUGACAUGAAGUAGUUGAACUUGUCAGCUGUGAAGCUCUUUGCUGCUGCCCACAUAUUCUUACCAUAAAGACACCAUGGAAUCCAUUCUUCUUCAUAUUCUUCCACAAAUGCCUCAUGUACUAUCUAUGUUCCAGUCCUAGGUAUACAUCUUCUACAACCCCCUCUAUCUCUUUGCCGGCAUCUGUACUAAUGAUCAAACCCGUAGGAUGACCAAUUGCAUUCUUCAAGUUGUUGAUAAACCAAGUCCAAUUAUCCUUGGACUCGGUCUCAAUCACUCCAUAUAACACUAGAAAUAGCCAGUUAUGACCAUCCACCGCCACAGCUGCUGCUAACUGACCUCUUGACCUUCCUGUAAGAUGAGUGGCAUCCAUGGCAAUGUAGGGCCUGCAUCCUUGCAAAAAUCCAUCAAUGCAUGGCUUAAGAGCAACAAAGAACCUUGUGAAACACACAUCACCAUUGUGGUCUUCAGUGUCUAGCUCAACAAUACUACUAGGAACAAAUCUCAGCAGCUCAGCUUGAUAUGUGGGUAGCAAAUCAUAGCUGUCAUCCCACUUUCCAUAUAUCAUGUCCAAUGCUCUCAUCUUGCCUCUAACAACUCUAUAAUAUGGAACUUCAAUGGAGUACUUCUUCUUUAACCUGUCCUGCAACUCCCUUUGUCCCAUUUCAGGUUCUUCCCGUAACAAGUCGACCACUCUAUCAGCUACCCAUUUCUUUGAGGCCAUUGUAUCACCAUAGUUGUUGACUGAACCACAAGUAUGCUUUGGUCCACUUGUCUUAACCUACAACAAAAAACAGCAACAAAAAGUAACUUUUCUGAGUAAAAACAGCUAGAAAAUAUACUAUUUUUGAAUAGAAACAUCCACGAAAGUAUUGAAUUUACCUUGCAUCCAAUGUAAUUCUUGCUUGUUGAAGCAUAAAACUUCCAAUUGCAGCCCUGUUCAGCUCUCUUCCAGAUUGCUCUAAAUCUGCUCUUAUCCUUUUUCACGAUCUCAAAAGCAUGAUCAUUCAAGAUAGCAUGAUGGGUAACCACUGAUUUGCAUUGGUGUCCACAUCUGGGAACACCACAUUAAUAUCAAUACAUGGAUCAUCAACAUCAUAUGAAAAUGGAGGAGGAUCAAUCCUCAUCAACUAUUUAACCAUCAGGAUCAAAUUCAGGGUUAGAAUCGUUAGAGCAUGAAGAUGCAGCCAAAUUAGUGUCAUAGCUUCUAUCACUUGUGCUAGAAGUGAAUGUGUGUCGGAGUACAUGCCGUCCUCCUCAUGAACUUCUACCCUCUCAUAUGUGGCUCUCUUCUUUUUAGAUGUGGAUUUGGCUCUCACACUUGUGGCUGUUUCACUUGUGGCUCUCACAUUUGCGGGUAUCUCACUUGUGGCUGUCUCAUUUGUGGGUAGUCUUCCUUAGAGAAGGGUGGCACCUACGUUUCAUUGGAGAAAACUGCAAUGGGCCCUAAAAAUCAUUUAUCUGGGCUCCAUUCUCUAGAUUGAGUUCAAACCAUUCAGACAGAUGUUCAUCAUAUUUUAUCUUAAUAGAGUCAUUGUCCAACUCACGCCACAAAGAUAUAUAUUGCUUUGAACCCCACAUGUAGUGUACAGCUAUGAAGUUAACUAACUGCAUCAGCCCAUAGUUAUGUGUGUCAACAACUUGUCGUGGUAAUGUUUUACCCUGCAGCCAUGACUUUGGGCCCCAUCAGGCAAGCUGAAAAACGAACAAACUCUAGCAACAAGUUGCAAAUCCCUGUGAUUUGGCCUACAAAUCAUAGCACCGAAUAUGAAUUUAGCUAAAUCGCUCUAAAGACCACAACUACAGACCCAUUUCAAUUGAAAUCUAUUGCGCACAGGGAUAUUCAAGAUCAGGGAUUACCUAGCCUCUUCCAUGGUCUUGGUGUUGCGCUCUCCCUCGAUGUCCUUGUGCUCAUGUGGAAGCAGUGGAGGUGUUGGGGCUGGAACCCGUGCCACCUGCGUUGGGGCCGCGCCUGGCAUCGGGGCUGGAACCCGCGCCCCCUACGCUGGGCUCGCGCCCGGCAUUGGGGCUUCAACGCGCGCGCCCGGGGCCGCGCACCCUCGCGCUCGGGCCAGGCUGCCUCCUCCCGCUACCGUCGGUGCCGGACGGGGCAACACAGGUGCACCUCUUGCCGGUCCGCCGCCUGGAUGGCCUCCCGCAGUCGGCUGCCGCCGCCAGUAGCCGGCCGCCGCCGCCCCUAGGUUUUCGUGGGAGAGGAGCCAGGCGACACUCUGUGGGUUCGAGCAGCCACGAGUUGGAGGAUAGGAGAUGGAUAAGGUUAGGGGUACUGAUAUCUUUUCGCAUUGUGUUUAGUAUUUUUCCUAUUUCUUUUAUUUUUUUAAAGGGGUCAUCACGUAACAGAGUUAGAAACAGGGGUAGAUGGAGGCUUCAUCUACGAAAAGAAGGGGCAAAAUCACAAAGUUCAAAAAUUGAGGACAAAAUCACCAUUAGACUUCACAGUAGGGGCAAGAUCCCCAAUCUCCCUUAUAUCAAAUAUCGCAGUAGUAACAUAGUAGCAAAACUAGUUCCACUAUGGUGCUAAAAAGAAUUGUACCUGUCCAGAUUUAGUUGGGUCAUGUGGUUUUAGUUUUGCAUGAACUGUUCGUCUUCUUUCUGCUGCCUGAACAAGGUUCUAUUACCCCAUACACCAUACAAUGAACACUAUCAGUACUUUGUCAAUGAUUUCAGUGAAAAGUGAGAUGACUGUGAGGAUCUGAUGAUACUAUUAGGUGCCAUGCUAUUGUAUAUGAAUUGUUAGAUAUCAGUUUCCUUUCUUUUGUUCUUUUUUUACUGCUGAAGAAUUUUAUGCAGUGGCUUUUUUUCCCAGAAUGAAGAUGGUUGAUAGUGAAUCGUUUCACACGUUUUAAUUUACCCCCUCUCUAUUUUAUUGCAUACUUGCCAUGAUAUUGAACAUACAGCCCUGGAUUAAUAUGGUUUCAGCAUAUACUUGGCUGUGGUACUUGCCUGGAGUGACAUACUGCCCUGUGUAAUAUGGUUUGUGUGCAACCAUGUGCAGUGAUAGUGAAAGGCACCGUUUACCAGAUGUACACGAGCACCUUCGCCAGUACUACUGACAACAGUGGUGCAUGCUAUAUCCGAUCAGCUGAGUGGAAAGUAGCAAGACUUCUAGUGAAAACCGUUCUUGGCAUCAUUUAUUGGACGGCAAGCAUUAUGUGGUUCUGUAUUUUUACGUCAGAAGGUCAAAAUUGCAUUUGAAAACAUUAGCGCUUGCUACAUGGCUCUGAAUUUAUGAGAAUGUCAAGUGGAUGAAUGAAGCGUCGACCAUGGACUAGUCGCCUGUGACGUCUUGCGUAUCUUGACUGGAGAAACCUGGUGGUACACUGCCUCGUCAAAGCAUUUGUUUUUGGCCGCGCAGCACCAGCCCAUAAUGUAGUUUGCUUCUAAUCAGCGAAAACAUCGGAAUUGCUGUUGUUUCUCAGACAUUGCUAACCUUGACUGAGUGCCAGCGAGAAGCAUCGAACAUUUGAGGUGAAAUGUGCGGCAGGAUGUAAGCCCGGCCGUUUAUUGCAGGUGAAGCGGGUUGGGCAUCCAAAACUAGCUGAAUCCUUGAGAGUAGCACGUACAGGGCGGUCUGCAAAUCACAAGUCUACUGGUACUCACCUGAAGAUGUCUAAGGUCAAGCUCCAUCACUGUGCCUCAGAGUUCAACGCGUUCAACCAGUCAAUUGCCCCCACUCCAAGUAGCGAGACGCAACAGACCACGACGCUCACUAAUUUGACUUAACUGGAUUGGCUUUUGAUUACAAUCUUUCUAUCUAAUAAAUGGAUUUUCCAUUCUAAUUUUUUGUACGUAGAUUUCACGUGUCAUAGCCCCGAUACUAGUUUCACCCGCGUUAAAUAAUUCUAUUUGAAGGAAUCAAGCCCAAUUCAGUUGGUGUAUAUACUGGCUGGCUGACAUCACCCAGUUCUUCGAUUCUCUUUAGAUGUGGUAGAGACUCAACCUCUGUUUUCUUUGUCAUUAGAAGUGUUUUUAUUUUUAUGGGACAAUUUAAAUUUAGCAUUUUAUUUAGUUCCACGGGUCACACGAAGUGGUACGUUGUACACUCUUCUGCAAGAGAAGUCUUAUUCAGUUGGAAUCCUACUUGCAACUCGCGUCCAGUAAUUUCUUCUUCAAUAGACCGAACACAACGCAAAUGGUUGUUCAAAGCCUUCCUCGGCAAUUAAAGGAUUUGGUCUAUAUAUUCAUUCUUUCAUUCUUGCAGUCCCCUUUUCCUCGGCUACUCGAAACAACAACAACAAAAAAAAAAAAAAGCAGCGAACUAUCAGUAAUGUACUAGUAGCCCGUGACGUGUACAAAUCUUGACUGAAGACAGCAGAAGCAAAGAUGUGUUUGGUAGACUUGCAUUUCCAGGCAAUUGCUUGUUGACCCCAACCACUACUGAAAACUCGGCAUUUGUCCCGAAGUUUAAUUAGUACCGAUUGGUUUUUGAUCCGGUACUGAUGUGAGCAUUAGUACUGAUCUAACGGCUAGUUCCUCAUGAGCCCCCGUGAGCUCCUUUAGUACCGGUUGGAGCCCCCAACUAGUAUUAACUUAUCUCCUAUAAAUCAGGCGUCUUCUUCCUCCUGCCCAAGCUAUUUUCUUCAGCUCGAGCUUCAUCCAUUCAUGACGAAAUAGAGGAGGUGCUGCUGGAUUUUUGACCAUUUCGUGAGGAUUUCACUCAUUCAAGUAUUCUAAAGGUUAGAAACUUCAUCCACCCAUGAUACAUGGUUAGUAUACUAAGUUUUAUGCUAUAGAGCUAGGGUAAUUUGUGAUUUUUAGAAUAAGAUACAAUGGAGAAAAUUUUCAUUUGUAUGCAUGUGUUAUUUAGAGCUCAUAUUUGUGAUUUUUAGAAUAAGCUACAAUUUUUUGGAUGCUAUAUUUCGUAUUAGUCAAAGAAAUUGAUACGUGGUUAGAGGAAUAAUUUCAUAGUUUAGCCAUUUACAAAUAUGAGCUAAAUAAAUUAUGGGAAAAAAUAUAAUUUGUUCAUAUUUUAGUCAUUUGCAAAUAUGAGUGAGAUAAAUUAUGGUCAUAGAAAUAAUAAGAUGAAAUAAAGGAAUGUAAUUACUCAUUUUUUGAUAAGCUCCAAUAGAGAAAUUUUUCAUUUAUAUGUUAUGUUUGAGCUAAAUAAAUUGUGGAAAAAAAUAUAAUUUAUUCAUAGUUUAAUAUUUGCAAAUAUGAGCUAAAUAUAUUGUGGUACAUAGAGAUGGCUACUGCUGCUGGAGGUAGUAUCGAUUGUAGGGGUGAUCGUCGUUCCACUCGCGGCAACGGAAAAACCAUAGUUGACCCUCAUGAUAAGCUGAAGAAAAUGAGCAUAUGGGAGAGAGCAAUGCUUCAUUAUUUGGAAAGAUGCCAUGCAGAUGUUGUUGCGACAGGUUAGGAACCUCCUUUUAGUGGUCGUUAUGCUCCACUCCCAGUCCCGAGGGUUUCAGGUCCAUUGAGUAUUACCAUCGCAGGAGGCACAAAUAAACCACAGGAUGAGGCUGGGUCAGCGAAACCUUAUUAUUUGCCACCCAAGAAUGCUUAAUGUCCUCCUAGAUAGUACUUAGUGGAUGGUUUAUCGUAGUGUAUCAUGUUGUUUGGGUCUAAAAUUUAAAUUUGUGUAUUUCUAUUUAACCUUUCAGCAACAUUUGAGUUUGUUGUAGUGUAUCAUGUUGUUUGAGUCUGAAAUUUAAAUUUGUGUAUUUCUAUCUAAAUAUUAGCAACAUUUGAGUUUAAUGAAAUUUGUAUCAUGUUUGUUAUGUUUCAUGAAAUUUUUAUCAUGUUUGUUAUGUUUGAUGUAUAAUUCUAUGGAUGAUCAAAUUAUCUUUUGUUCGGUAAUACUUUGUAGAUGGAUAAUCAAUGGAUGUACAGCGCAGACAAAUGCUCCAUGGAGUGCAUUAAUGGCUUGCGUGGUUUUCUCGAUGUGGCAGAGUCCAACAAGCCGCCGUCUGCUUUCAUUUGCUGUCCAUGCCGAAUUUGCAAAAAUGAAAAGGAUUACUCAUCCAAAAAGACUAUUCAUGCCCACAUAUAGAGUUUCGGAUUCCUGCCUAACUAUUUCAUUUCGACCAAGCACGGGAAAAGAGAAGUUAUGAUGGAAGAAGAUGAUGAUGAUGAUGAAGAUGAUAACUACACUCCUGACUAGACUCAAGAAGUUGCCUUUGCAGAUGUUGCAAUGGGCGAGGCUGAAGAAGAGAUGGUUGCAGAAGAAGGUCCUACCGAUAAUCUAAAUCAGGUGUUGCGAGAUGCAAAGGAAGACUGCGAGAAUGUGAAGGAGACAAAGAAAUUUGAAGUAUGUUAGAUGAUCAUAAGAAAUUGUUGUACCCAAAUUGCAAACAGGGGCACAAAAAGUUGGGUACCACACUGGAAAUGCUGCAAGGGAAGAUAAAAAUUGGAGUUUCUGACAAGGGUUUUGAUGAGUUAAUGAAAAUUAUAAAGAACAUGCUUCCUGAGGGGAAUGAAUUGCCGUCCUCAAUCUACAAAGCGAAAAAGGUUGUUUGCCCUUGGGGUUUGGAGGUACAAAAGAUACAUGCAUGUCCUAAUGAUUGUAUCCUUUAUCGCGGUGAGGAAUAUGAAAAAUUGGAGGCCUGUCCUGUGUGCGAAGCGUUGUGUUAUAAGAUCAGGCGAGAUGACUCCAGCAAUAUUGAGGGGUAGGCUAGUAAGAAGAAAAUUCCUGCGAAGGUAAUAUGGUAUUUCCCUGUAGUACCACGCUUGAAGCGUUUGUUCAGAAACCAGACACAUGAAAAGUUGAUGUGUUGGCACAAAGAAGAACGUAAGGAAGAUGAAAUGAUCAGAUACCCCACUGAUGGGUUCCAGUGGAGAACAGUUGAUAGAGAAUUUCAUGAGUUUGAAAAGGAUGCAAGGAAUAUAUGGUUUGGUUUAAGAAUAGAUGGAUUCAAUCCAUUCGGUGAGUUCAGUAGUGGUCAUAGCACUUUGCCUGUGACCUUAUGUAUGUUCAACCUUCCAUCGUGAAUGUUCAUGAAGCAGAAGUUCAUUAUGAUGCCUGUAAAUAUCCAAGGCCCAAAACAACCUGGCAAUGACAUUGAUGUUUACCUAACAUCAUUGGUUGAUGAACUUUUACUGUUAUGGAAGGAAGAAGGUGUACGUGUAUGGGAUGAGGACAAAAAUGAUACUUUUAAUCUACGAGCAUUGUUGUUCGUAACCAUCAAUGAUUGGCUGGCGCUUGGUAAUCUGUUCGGACAGACAAACAAGAGAUAUCGAGCCUCGACGCACUGUUUAGAUGAUACUUGCAUCAUGUAUUUGAAACACUAUAGAAAGGUCGUGUAUACAUGCCAUCGUCGAUUUAUUCCUGCUAAGCACCUGUUAAGAAAGAAAGGGAAGCAUUUUGAAGGAGAGGAAGAAAAACGUACUAAGCCCGUUCACCAUAAUGGUAAACAUGUAUUUUCUAUGAUAAAGGAUGUGAGGGUAGCCUUUGGCUAGGGCUCUGAUAGCUAACCUGUUCCGAACGAUGAGAAUAGACAUGCACCCAUGUGGAAGAAGAAGUCUAUAUUUUGUGAGCUACCUUAUUGGGAAGUCCUCGAGGUCCGUAAUGCAAUCAAUGUGAUGCAUUUGAUGAAAAUCUUUGCGUGAACGUGCUUGGCUUCCUGGGUACAGAUGGAAAGGCAAAUGAUACAAUUGAAGCACAUCGGGACCUAAAACGUAUGAAACAAGGAGAUGACCUACAUCUGGAAAAGAGAGAUGAUGGACAUUACUUGCAUCUUGCCAGUUACACUAUCAUAAAGGAAGAGAAGAAAAGAAUGUUUGAGUGCUUGAAUAGUAUCAACGUCCCAUCGGGCUACUCCUCGAAUAUACAGGGAAUAAUAAAUAUUAAAGAGAAGAAAUUCACAAAUCUAGAGGCCCAUGACUGCCACGUCCUGAUGACACAAUUGCUGCCUAUUGCACCAAGUGGUAUUCUACAGAGAAUGUGAGAAUGACAAUCGUGAAGCUAUCUGCAUUCCUCAACAUAAUUUCUCAGAAGGCAAUCCAUCCAAACAAUUUACUAAAGGUACAGAAUGACGUGGUGCAAUACAUUAUUAGCUUUGAGAUGGUCUUUCCACCUUCCUUCUUUAAUAUCAUGACCCACCUUCUAGUCUACCUUGUUGAAGAGAUUUUUGUUCUCAAUCCUGUAUUUCUAUACAAUAUGUUCCCUUUUGAGAGGUUUAUGGCAGUUCUGAACAAGUAUGUUCGUAAUUGUGCCCGUACAGAAGAAAGCAUCACAAAGGGAUAUGGAACAGAGGAGGUCAUUAAGUUUUGUCUUGACUUUAUUGAUGACCUGAGUUCGAUUGGAGUCUCUGUAUCAAGCCAUGUAUCAAGCCAUGAGGGGAGACUCAGGGGAAAGGGCACACUAGGGAGGAAAGCUCGGAUGGACAUCGAUGAGAGUACAUUUCGUAAAUCACACUUCAUGGUGCUGCAACAAACUUGGAGGAGCACAAGACCAUUGUACGGUGCUUAAACAAGGGGAAGACUGAGGCCUGGGUUACACGUCAUCACAUUGACACUUUUGCCUCUUGGUUGUGGCAAUGACUGAUGACACGAUUGAAGAGCAACUAGCAUGGUUGGCUAGGGGUCCAUCUAUCUCAGUAUCAACAUUCCAAGGAUACGAGAUAAAUAGGUACACAUUUUACACGAUAGCCCAAGACCAAAAGAGCACAAACCAAAAUAGUGGUGUCCGUAUAGAUGCAAUAAACAACAAUGGAAAAAAUAGAUACUAUAGUGUCAUCGAGGAGAUGUGAAACUCGACUAUGGACCUUUGAAUAUCUAUCUGUUCUGGUGGCAAUGGGUGAAACUUACUGGAGGAGGUGUAACGGUAGACAACUAUGGGGUGACAAUAGUGGACCACAAUAAGAUUGGAUACAGAGAUGAACCAUUCAUCCUAGCCAAUGAUGUGACUCAAGUUUUCUAUGUGAAGGACAUGUCAAGCAAACCAAAAUAGAAGGGUGCUAAUAAGUUAGAUGACCAGCCAAAGCGCCACAUAGUUCUUACAGGGAAAAGAAAAAUCAUUGGAGUUGAGGACAAAACUGACAUUUCAGAAUAUUAUGAUCAGUUCAAUGAUCUUCCUCCAUUUUCAGUCGAGGUUGACCCAAGCAUCCUAUUAUCCAAAGAGAAUGCUCCAUACUUACACCGUGAUCACAACCAGGGGAUGUUCGUCAAGAGGAAGGUCAUUAACGUUCCAUUAGAUGAUGAUGUGUAAUGUAUUAAAACCAUUACAGUGUGUUUUGUGGUCAAGUGUAUUAAUGUAAUAACGCAUUGUAAUGAUAUCUAAUGUAUUCCAUGGGUUUAUUAACAAUACUAUUUGCAAAAAUCUCACCCUAUUAAAUAAGAACUAAUUUUUGCAUAGUUAAAAUAUUAAAUAUUUCAAUUUUUUAGCACCAUUAAAUAUUAAACAAUACAUUUAGGUACAAUUAAACAAGUACAUGACUAAGUUAUGGUAAACAUGUUAAUAACACUACUGGCACUAUUUUUCUAAAUUUUUGUAUGGUCAAAAUAUCUAUUUUUUUGAAUUUUAAAGUUAGCAUAAGUAUUAUGACCAUUAUAACCUAUUACUAAGUUAAAAUUAAUAUGAUAUUUGAAUGCAUCUAAUUUUUUUUAUAGUCAAGCUAACAAAUUGUUUUUGCAAUUUUAUGAAUGUUAUUUGUUUUACUAUGCAAUAAAUUUUAAAAAAAGAAAAUAAAAAGAUGUUUAGGCGGGAAGGCGGAACAGGAGGCUACAAAACCCUUUAGUACCAGAUGAUAAAAUUACCCGGUACUAAAUGGGGCAUUUUCAUUUUGGCACGCUCAGCCCCCCGUUAGUACCAGGUGUUAGCUAGACCCGGUACUAAAGGGUAGGCCUUUAGUGUGGCAGAACCGCCCAAAUUAAUCUGACUAAAAUGCACUUAGGUCACCUGACACGCGAUCACUUUAAGCAAGCCAACUUGGUCGUCUGUCGGAUUUCAUUCGAUAAACCACUUACUCAGGAUCGAGAAGCAUUCCUCACACGAAGGUGAGUGGGCACAGAGAUUCCAACAUAGUUCAACAAUUUAGUACAUCAGAGUUUUUGAAAUCUAAACAAGUUGCAAGGUUGUAAACACCGAAGAAGUAAAACAAGCGGAAGCUAAACGUCGAUACAUGAUAUCAUGACGAAGCCGAUCAUGACAUCAACGAUCCAUGCCCUCGCCGUCCAAGGAGAGAUCCCACUCAACUAUCCAACCCGGAGGGAACUAGGUAGGCCAAGUGGUGCCAGCAGCCAUACUAUCGACAUUACCUGAAAAGUUAAGCCACAAACAGGGUUGAGCAACUAAUACUCAGCAAGACUGACCCGACAGGUGGUAACUACACCACCGACUCCUAGACGUGCAAGGCUUUUUGGCUGUGGGUUUGUUUUUGCCAAAACGCCUAAAGUUGGUCCUUACUUUCCAUAUUUUAGCUCAAGUUCUAAGUUCAUUACCCAAUCUAGAUUAGCAACUUAUACUAAGCAAGCAUUGUUUCCAAACAAUUAAAGACAAGCAUCAAGAUUAACAUCAUCAUCAUGUUCCAUCUUUACUUAGUGUAGAAUAGCGAUCAAGCAGUUCCAAACUGUGAGAGGCAGACGAAUUGAUUCGAAUUUAUUAACCAUGCAUGGCGAACCUAAUCUCACGACAUUCGCGCACCACGAAGGGUCGCUUCAUUUUUCAGCCAUCCCCAUCGAUCCCUUAGGCACGUGUCAGGUCCAAACUUCCUUUGGCAUGCAAUGCUCCAUAGUCUCAGCCUCUACCGUACUGUGACCGCACUUGCACCCACAUGAUGCACCAUGGGAACGACGUUCCAAGGACAGUAGGGGUAUAUGCCACACCCUAGUUCACUCAGGUACUAGGUAUGAGAUUAGUACUUUCAAACACUUGAUCAUGAACGCCGACACGUUUCGACCUUAGCAAGUUCAUUACUAGACAUACGGGGCAAACCACCACAUCAGAACUAUUCCCGGUCCCGUCCGUCAUCCUUAUGGUUGUAGCAUGAGUAAACAAACAACUCCUAUAACUCGCGAGUGACAGGCAAUCACUCGACUUUUAUCGAGUCCUAUUUAGCACAUCAACUACUCGACCUUUGCAACUAGUGUUCAGAUCAGAGGUACUAAGUUCAUGCAUCUACGGUUUCAAUCAACUCCUACAAAUGUAAAUGCACAAAUCAUAAGCAUCCACAUAUUGCAUAAUUUAAAAUAGGGAAACAUGCACUGGGGCUUGCCUUCAGGGAAAGUCAGUGGGUCUUCAAGGUCUUUAUCUAGCUCGGGCUCAACUUCCGCGUGAUGUAGCUCUGCGGUGGGUUCCUCUUCAAGCGUAGGGUGGAGCUCGUAGGUUCCGUCAGCGAUAUUAGCUUCUAGAAGACAUGCACAUGCAAAGAGUUUAGAUUUUGCCAUGCUUUGCAUGAAGGAUGCAAGGCAUGACUCAUGCUGGAACGAAUGUUGCAUUUAGGCCACAUUCACCUAAACAAGGUUCAAUAAAUUAUAGAAAUGUGCAUAAAAUUGUCGAAUUAGCUAGAAAUUAUAGAAAAUAGUUGGAAUAUCCUAUUCAUUGUAGUUUGAUCUAUGUACAACAUUGAUUAGUCAUUUAUUAUAACAAAUUGUAUAAGUAUUAGUCAUCCUUUUUUAUUGUCAUUUACUGUAAUAAAUUGUAUAAGUAUUAGUCAUUUUUUUUAGUCAUUUAUUUUUACAAAAUGUAUAAGUUCUAACCAUUCUUCUUUGUAGUCAAUUAUUGUUACAAAAUUUAUAGUCAUUAAUUCCAUAGUCAAUUAUUGUUACAAAAUGUAUAAGUUUUAUUUAGUCAUUCUUUUUUAAUUAUCAUUUACUAGCAAUUCAUAGUAAAUAUUAUUUUAGUCAUUUAUCGUAAAAAAUUGUAUAAGUGUUUCAUUCUUUUUUUAGUCAUCUAUUAUUUGAAAAUUGUAUAAGUGAUUGUUAUUCUUAGAAUAAUUCUUUUUAUAUUAUAUUAGUUACAGCAGGCACGAUCAAAGGACUUGAUUGCUUAAGGUCGCACGAACGAUCCACCAAACGAAGAGGUUGAUCACAGCCAGACUGACAUCUACCUCAACAUGUCUGAUGAUGACAAUGAGGAGCAACCAAUUGCCGAGGGAGGCAAUGAUGGGCAACAAGACGAGGUAUAGCAAUUCUUAUAUGUAAACAUGAUUUAAAUUCUCUACUUAUCAAGAUUAUUGGGAAUUAAUAUUUGUUUCAUUUUUCAGCCAUCUGGAUCGAGCAAGCCUAAAUGGAAACGAGGGCCAAAGAAGAAGUUAGAGGAUCGUAUCAUCAACACGGAACUUAAUGAAGAGGGUGAACCAACUGCUCCAGACAAUGCUAAGACCAAAUUGGUGAUCAAAUUGGAUUUCUUGUUAGGGAUAACAUCUCAAUAAGCUUUCAGAAUUGAAAAAGCCCUGAAAUCGAUGAGAGCAUGGUCCCCACAAGCACGGUCCCCAUAAGCACAGUCCUUGAGCGAGAGAAGGAAAUGAUAUGGGAGCAGAUAAAAGAAAACUUCACGUUCGAAGGUGAGAUGAAGAAAAAGUGAAAGAUUGGGGCUUUAAGAAGGGUGCAAUUGCUUUUCAGACAUACAAGAAGAACGUGAACAAAGACUACAUAAAGGGGGCCUUACACCAGAUUUCACGAAGCACCCGAAGUUAAGAGAUCACUGGGAUUCAUUUGUGAAAUUCAAGCAGUCAAAAAAAAGCGCUAAGGCAACUAAAACCAACACCAACAAUGCUCGUUAGAAGAAAUACUUUCAUCGUCUUGGGCCUGGAGGUUACAAGAAGGGGAUCAUCAAAUGGCAGAGGAUGGGAGAUGACAUAAUUGCUAAGGGUAUAGUACCGGUGACCUCAAAUGGUCGGAAGCAAAGCAUUAGUAUCAUGCUCAUGGCAGCACGCUCAAUCCUGAAGAUGGACCAUUUGUGUUCGACCAAGAAUUAAGAGAAGUGGCUAUGAGACUUGUUGAGUUAAUAAAGGCUACAACAGAAGGAUCUUUCGUGCCUGAUCGAGAGAAGGACGAGCUGACUCUGGCACUAGGUAAUCCAGAAUAGCCUGGACGUUGCCAAGGCAAAGGUGUAAAUCCAUGGAAGUUUGCCUUUCGUGAGCACAUUGAUUCCUACAGAAGUUGCCAACAAAGUAAGGCUGAAAACGCACGACAGUUGCGAGAGUUGUAAGAACACGUAGCUUUGACAGAGGUAAGAAUGGAGGAAGUAAUUGACCGGCGUGUGGCUGUAGCUCUUAGCAAACAUGCCAGUGAACAAGUAGCUGCAUCAUUAGGGGCUAAUGUCGAUGUAAGCCCCUCUCAGCAUCGAAGCAACAUCGCUUCCAUGGAAGCCCCAGCUGGAGGAUCUUCUGACAUGGUUGAGGAUAACCAACGCCACCCCAUGGAUGACAUCACUGGGAGGGCCUCUUGUGAGCUUGUUAUUCCUGUGAAAAACAAGCUCAUCGUGGUGGCUUAUGGUGUAACUGAAAAACUGACACAAGGCUAAAUAAUUCAUAGCGUGGAGAUUCUAGCUCGUGGUUACGCCAAAGUUGGGGUGGACCAAGUGGUCGAUGGUUGGGAUGACCUAAAACUGGAGGUACCUGGAGGUGACGGGGAAAAGAAUCUAGGAGAAGCCAUCCAUGGUUAAAUUCUAUGGCCCAAGUGCUACAUAAGGAUUCUACAACCAAAUCCCCCGACCUUGGGAUCAUCUCCUCAGGGCUCAAGGGAAAGAUCACCUACGCCAUCUGCCAGGGCACCCUCUCCACUAGCUGACAGGGAUCCUAGCAUGAGUCCAGUAACUGAUAGGGAUUCUAGCAUGAGUCUACGCUCUCCACCAGCUGACAGGGAUCCUAGCAUGAGUGCACCUUCCCCUGUCAUGCAAGGCUACAUGGCAAAAGAUGCCCUUAGUUCCGCCUACAAAGAAGAAGCAGAAGAAGUAGAAGGAGAAGCAACUAGAGCUAAAGAAAGCUUACGAUAAGACUGAUGUGGAAAUCGACGCACUAAUGGAUGCUGAGGUUAAAGCUCACUACGCAAAAGCCUCCUAUGAAGAAAGAUCCACCACUUGAUAAGGUUAAAUUUAGGGCUUUCAUUAGAGGCAUAGAGUUGGAGGAAAAGCAAAAGUCAGAGAAACCACCGCUAUCUGACUAUGACCGCACAAUAAUGAAGGCUUUUCAGAAGAAUAAGAAAAGUGGCUUAAGUAUUCCACAGCUCGCAACCCAAUCCAACCAAUCGAUUGCCCUGCUCCAGGUGCUUUCGGAGUUUAAUAAGAAUUUGCUUUGAUUCACCAAUGAUACAAAUCUCACCAUAGCUCAACUUCAAGGAGAGGAUCACAUCCCAAAGCAAGCUGGGGCCGGUAAAUGGAAAUUUGAGUUAGGGAAAGAGCUUGUGUGGCCGUAGUUGGUGGACCAUCUUCCAACGAAGAUGUACAAAUUUCACCAAUGGUACAUGGAGGCUUCAGCCACCGGUUUACUCAUGAUAGAAGUUCGGAUUGGAGAUCAACAUUAUUUCCGUGGUGAUGCCAUUAUAAAUGUGUCGCUCCAGGAACUUUAUUUUCUUUACAAUUAAGACGCACUUGACAAAUCACUCAUCAGUUCUAUAUCAUGGACUCUCUGAGGAGACCAAGAAAUCAAUACACCGACCUCAUAGACAUGCUUAACAGAGCAUGGGCUCACUUCCAUCAACAUCACUCAUGUGAAUUCAAGGAGCAACUUCAUAUCCACUCUGAAUUCCCGGUAUGUAUUAAAUUUGCACAUCUCGUGUCACUUCCUAGACCACAACAAAUAUUUCAUAACUUCUUUUGCCAUAUAUAUAAUGUUUGAGAUAGAAUCUGGAGGAAUAAUUUAUGCAAUACUACGUAUCUAAGUUCAUCCAUAGCUUUGUAGGUCCCUAGCGUAUAACUGACCAUGAAUUCAUAGUACAUAUACAAAUUUCUUAACAAUAAAUUAGUUCUAAUUGUGCAGAUCCAUUGAUCUAAUAUAAUAACCUUUGCUAAUGACACAUAUUAUGAACAUGAAGGAAGAACUCGAGAUGGAAAAAAAUCAGGGCAAUUCAAGAACAACUCAGUGGAUUUUUUCUGAACGAGAUAUUAAAUCUAGCGGGAGAGUUCCAUAAUGAUGGAUCAAAUCUGUAUCACCAUCAGGACUCAGGUUCAGAAUAGUUGAUCCAAAAUGUUGAACUUGGAGAAUUGAUGCAAUGUAAUAUUAUUCAUAUAUGAGUAUGCACAAUAUGUCUAUGUAUAAUAUUAUCUCAAAUGUAAUAAUAUAGAUUAAAUACAACUUUAUAUAUAUUCUAUAUUAGAACUAGUAUACAUAAAGGAAACAAAUACGAAAUACUAAUAUAGAAUAAAGAAAUAGAAAAGAAAAGGGAAUUUAGUCAGCCAAUUUAGUACUGGUUGGUCUCCCCAAGCAAUACCGGUUGCACAACCAGUACUAAAGGAGGUUUUGGACCCGAUACUGAAGGUGCUUCCCCAGCAGUGACCUGAAACACCUGUGCCUAAGUGCGUGUGCGCAGAGUCGCAGAACUAUCGCAGGUGGCUUCUUUACUAUACUAUAUGCUUUUGCAGUAGUGCUAGUGUUUUGUUAAAAGUCCGUGAAACGUUGCAGUAAGAAGCAAACAUCCAACUUUGUUCCGAGCCCAAAAUUGUUCGCACAUGUAGUAAGAAUCAUAAGUCCAGUUCCUAGACCCUAAGGAUGUCAAUACUACUGUAUUUACUCAGGUCUAAUGUGACCCAAGCUUAAACGCCACAUUGGUUUCAGCUUUCAACACGUUUAGGCAAGUCAAUUGGCCCCACUCCAAGAUGAACCCAUGAUCAAGUCACUUUUCCAGCAGCCUAAUUUGAGUCCGGCAGUCUCUAAAAUUUCAGCCGCCACUAGUAGAGAACUCACCUUGCAUACGCCCCAUUUUGUCCCAGUUUAAAGUUGGCCUGGGACAAAAGGGGGCGCGCCACGGUAGGGUGAAAUGGGGUGGAGCUUUAGUUCCGGUUGGUAUUUCCAACCGGGACUAAAGCCCCCCCUUGAGUCCCAGUUGUAAUGGCUAGUUCCCAGCCACCAACGGCACCCCCCUUUUGUCCCGGUUGGAGCAUCCAACCGGGACAAAAACACUAGCCUUUUGUCCCGGUUGGAGUUACCAACCCAGACAAAAUAUUUACUCCCGGUUGGUAAUUCCAACCGGGACAAAAGGGUUGCGCUUUUGUCCCGAUUGGUGGUUCCAACCGGGAGUAAACUUCAACCGGGAUAAAAGGUGUUCCUUUCUAUCCCGAUUGGAAUUUUAGACCAGGAUAAAAACUGAUGCCCCAUUAAAUCCCAAGACAGAGGUCUUUCUUCCUCCUCCAACCCGAGCCAGUCCACUCCACCGAGACAGAGAGCUUCACCUCCUCUCCAUGGCGUCGAAGAAAGCCUAGGGGAGGUGCUGCAAAAAAUUUUUUCCUCAUUUUCAUGGGGAUUUCACUCAUUCAAAGUGUUGUGAAGGUUAUCUACUUCAUCGUCUUGUUAUGCUUUGUUUUAUGCUUUAGAGAGGGAGAAAAAUGAGUUUGCUUGUUAGAAAGAGGGAGAAUGAAGAGGAUUUGUAUUUAUACAUGUUUUUGAGCUAGAAUGUGAUGGAUAGUUUGCUUGUUAUAUACGAUUUGUAUUAGUUAAAACAACUUGAUGUGUAGAAUGGAGAUGGAUAAUUUAUUUGCUAGAAUGUGAGGUAGAAAAUGGAGAGAAUUUUGAGCUAGAAUGUGAGGGAGAAUGGAGAGUAAAUGUGAGGUAGAAUGGAGAGGAUUUCAAUAUUAAUUAUGAGGAAAAAUUAGUAUGUCAUAUGUGUCAUAUAUAGUAUGUAUCCUUGCAGCGGUUUACGAAUGAUGCUACCCUUAUCUAGACGGUUUAUCUUGUCAAAUUCAAUAUGGUUUUUCAAAUCCGUACUUGUUGAACUUGCAUACUAUGUUCAUCUCGGCGAGCAUGUUCUCUGCUGAGUGGCAACGAACGUCAAGGAGGAGCUCGGAUUCUAUGAGGAAAAGUGGCAACGAACAUCAUGGAAGACCGUAUCCCCUUCCUCGUAGAAUUGGAGCUCUUCCAUGGCGAAGUACAGUCCCAUCCGGUGGAGAAAUGCUCGCCGAGAUGAUCAUGGUUUGCAAACUCAACAAGUUCUACAAUGCUAAGGUAUGAAUUUUUGUACAUAGAGAUGGCUUCUGCUACUGGAGGUAGUGACGAUGGUGGGGGUGAUCGUCGUUCCGCUCGUGGCAAGGGGAAAACCAUAGUUGGCCCUCAUGAUAAGCUGAAGAAAAUGAGCACGUGGGAGAAAGCAAUGCUUCAUUAUUUGCAAAGAUGUUAUGAAGAUGCUGUUGCGGCGGGUCAGGAACAUCCUUUUGGUGGUCGUUAUGCUCCACCGCUAGUCCCGGGUGUUUCACGUUCACUUAGUACUAUCGUUGCAGGAGGCACAAAUAAACCACAGGAUGAGGCUGGGUCAGAGGAACCUUCAUCUUCACCACCCAAGAAUGCUUAAAGUCCUCCUAGAUAGUAAUCAGUGGAUGGUUUGUUGUAGUGUAUCUUAUUGUUUGCAUCUGAAAUUUAAAUAUGUGUAUUUCUAUCUAUAUCUAAGCUUUCAGCACCAUUUGCACUACAAAGUUUGACAUGCUUUCAAUCAUGAAUAGCAUGUAGAUAAGUCGUAAAGCAUAUCAAAUAACCAUCAAUAGGCACGUAAAGAUGAAUUUUGAUGCAAAAUGGAAAUGACACACUUAUUCACAACAAGAGAACCUAAUAUUUGUAAUCAUUGAGGGAUGAAGAAAUAAUAUAUUUGAAUUUGUAAAAAAAACUAUCAUAUAAUCUAAUAUUUAUUACGUUGGCAAGAUAUUAGAGACCUGCAUGCCAAAAAUCAUAUUAAAAUUAAUUGUGUACAACAGAAAUAAAAAAAGGAAAAAAUGAGUAAUCCAUUUUCAUGCGUAAUCCAUUUUCAUGCAUAAUACGAUGCAGAUGGACCGGCAAUGCAUGUAUAAUGCGGACAGAUGGAGCAAGGAGUUUAUUGAUGGCUUGCAUUAUUUUCUCAAAGUGGCCAAAGCGAACAAGCCAGAGAACGGGUUCAUAUGUUGUCCAUACUUCCAAUGCAGUAACAAGAAGGACUAUUCACAGGCUUCCUAGGGUUCACAGCUAUUUGUUUAGAUACGGUUUCAUGCCUAACUAUUUGGUUUAGACCAAGCACGACGAAAGAGGAGUUGUAAUGGAAGACGGCAAAGAGCAAGAGGGGGAUGACAACAUUCCGGACUGGGCUGCAGGCCAAGCUUUUGCAGAUACUACAAUGGGCGAGGCUGAUGAAGAUCAGUUUGUAGAAGAUGACCCAACUGAUGACCUUGGUCAGGUGCUAUGGGAUGCACACAGAGAUUGCGAAACUGAGAAGAAAGCAGCCAAGUUGCAGCGCGUGAUAAAUGAUCACAAAAAAUUAUUAUACCCAAAUUGCCAGUAGGGCCAUAAAAAAUUGCGUACUACACUAGAAUUUAUGCAAUGGAAGGCCAAAAUUGGUGUGUCCGAUAAGGCAUUUCAGAGGAUAUUGAAAAUUGUCAAGAAGAUUCUUCCCAAGAAUAAUGAAUUGUCGUCAAGAACAAAUGAAGCUAAAUAGAUUGUUUGCCCUCUGGGAUUGGAGGUUUAGAAGAUACACGCAUGCCCUAAUAACUGUAUCUCUAUCGUGGUGCUGAAUACGAGAAAUUGGAUGCUUGUCCCAUGUGCGAAGCGCUGCGGUAUAAGAUCUGGCGAGAUGAUCCUGGUGAUGUCGAGGGGCAGCCUCCCAAGAAGAGAGUUCCCGCAAAGGUGAUGUGGUAUUUCCCUAUAAUACCACGCUUGUUCAGGAAUAAGGCGAAUGCUAAGUUGAUGCGAUGGCGCAAAGAAGAUCGUAAACAAGAUGAGAUGCUGAGACACCCUGUUGAUGGGGCCUAGUGGAGAUCAAUUGAUAGAACAUUCCCAGAUUGAAAGUGAUGCAAGGAACAUAAGGUUUGGUUUAAGUACUGAUAGAUUCAAUUCAUUUGGUGAGUUGAGUAGUGGUCAUAGUAAUUGGCCUGUGACCUUAUGUAUGUUCAACCUUCCUCCUUGGCUAUGCAUGAAGCGGAAGUUCAUUAUGAUGCCGACGCUUAUCCAAGGCCCAAAACAACCCGGCAAUGACAUUGACUUGUACCUAAGACCGUUGGUUGAUGAACUUUUACAGCUCUGGAAGGAAGAAGCUGUACGUGUGUGGGAUGAGGAUAAACAAGAGAUCUUUAACAUACGAGCAUUAUUGUAUGUAACCAUCAAUGAUUGGCCUGCACUGAGUAACCUUUUGGGAUAGACAAACAAGGGAUAUCGGGCCUGCACCUACUGUUUAGACGACACAGACAGCAUGUGUUUGAAGCACUAUAAGAAGAUCAUCUAUAUGGGUCAUCGUCGAUUUCUCCCUGCUCACCACCAGCUGAUAAAGAGCGGGAUGCAUUUCCAAGGGUCGCCAGACGAUCGUAAAAACCUGCACACCGUAAUGGAAAGCGUGUCUUUGAGAUGAUAAAGGAUGUAAGGGUAGUCUUUGGAAAGGAUUUUGGUAGCCAACCUGUUACGAACGAUGAUAAUGGAUGUGCACCCAUGUGGAAGAAGAAGUCAAUAUUUUGGGAGCUACCUUAUUGGGAAAUCCUAGAGGUCCGCAAUGCAACAGACGUGAUGCAUCUGACGAAGAAUCUUUGCGUGAACGUGCUAGGCUUCAUGGGUGUUUAUGGGACCUCAAAAGAUACAUUGGAAGCAUGAUAGGACCUAAAAGCCAUGGGGCAACGAGAUGACCUACAUCCGGAAAAGAAAGAUAACGGACAACACUACUUACAUCCUACUAGUUACACUCUCAGUAAGGAAGAGAAGGAUAGCAUGUUUGAAUACUUGAAUAGUAUGAAGCUCCCGCCUGGGUACUCCUCGAAUAUAAAGGGAAUAAUAAAUAUGAAAGAAAAGAAAUUCACAAAUCUCAAGGCCCAUGACUGCCACAUUUUGAUGACCCAGUUGCUUCCAGUUGCACUAAGGGGUGUUCUACCAGAGAAUGUUCGAUUGCCGCUCAUAAAGCUAUACGCGUUUGUCAAUGCGAUUUCGCAGAAGGCAAUCGACCCAACCAAACUAGCAAAGCUAUAGAACGAUGUGGUGCAAUAUCUUGUCAACUUUGAGUUGGUAUUUCCACCAUCCUUCUUCAAUAUUAUGACGCACCUCCUGGUUCACCUAGUAAAAGAGAUUGGUAUUCUUGUACCAUUAUACCUGCACAAUAUGUGGCCUUUUCGAGAGGUUCAUGUCUGUCCUAAAAAACUAUGUUCUUAAUCGUGCCCAUCCAGAAGGAAGCAUCACCAAGGGAUAUGGAACAGAGGGGGUGAUCGAGUUUUGUGUUGAUUUUAUUGACUCAACUGACUCGAUUGGGGUUCCAACUUCACACCAUGAGGGGAGGCUGUCGGGAAUGGGCACUCUUGGAAGGAAAUCAAUUUUGAGCAAUGAUACUGAUUUGUUCGAUAAGGCACACUACACUAUUCUGCAACAGUCAUCCUUUGUGGCUCCGUAUAUCGAGCAGCACAGUCAGAUGCUAGUAUCCAAAAACCCGACGAAAUCCGAUGCCUGACUUACACAUCGUCACAUGGAAACUUUUCCCUCCUGGCUGCGCCAACAACUUAUGGGUAACUCUGAGAUUCACCCACAGCUCGCUUGGUUAGCCACGGGACUUGCUAGCACAAUCGUGAAAUUCCAAGGCUACGAGAUAAAUGGUUAUACAUUUUACACGAGAGCCUAGGACCAGAAAAGCAUGAACCAGAAUAGUGGUGUCUGCAUAGAUGCUAUAGACAAAAACAGUAGCAAGGAGUCGUAUUAUGGUUUCAUGGAGGAGAUAUGAGAACUCGAAUACAGAUCGCUGUACAUCCCUCUAUUUCAUUGCAAAUGGGUGAAGCUAACUGGCGUAACCAAAGAUCAGUACGGAAUGACAAUAGUGGACCUGAGCAAGACUGGAUACAGUGAUGAACCAUUCGUACUUGCUAAUGAUGUGCAUUAGGUUUUCUAUGUGAAGGACAUGUCUAGCAAACCCAAGAGAAAUCCAGAACAGCCAUGGGAGCCAAAGCGCCACAUAGUUCUUUCAGGUAAAAGAAAGAUCGUGGGAGUCGAGGACAAAAUAGACCAAUCAUAUGAUUAUGAUUAAUUUGAUGGCAUGCCUCCAUUCACUGUUGAAGUUGACCCAAGCAUCUUGCUAUCCAAAGAAGAGGCUCCGUAAUUACGCUGCGAUCAUGAUCAAGGAACUUUCGUGAAGAAGAAGUUUUUUAACGUUACAUUGUAAUGCGCUAAAUUUGCUUCACCUUUAUGUAAAGUUCUAUGAUUUCAUAUACUACUUGAUACAAUUUUUAAUUUAACAUAUGUUUGAUUUCAUGUGUGUUUAAAUUAGUUGAGGUUAAGGUUUAUUCGAUCAAUAUGAACAAUGUUAACCACAUACAUAAAUUGAUUUUUUUGCGUGUUGAAAUUGUUUAAUUGAAUAAUUUCUUGAUGAUAGUGAUGCAGUAAAAUAAUUAUUUUAGAAGCUAAAAGAACUGGUAUAGAAUUAAUGACUCAUUCAAACUUAUUUUAAAUACACUUGCUAAUUUAAUAUAUUUUUGCUUGUUUAAAAUAUGUAAAGUUUUUAUUUUUUGCAUCCUAAAAUCUAGUGAAAACAUAAAUAAAAUCCAUUUCCAAAAAAUAGGCGGGAGACGAAAAAUGGGAAAAGGCCCUUUUGUCCUGGGUGCCAAUAGCAACAAGGACAAAAGCUCCCCCAUAUCCCGGUUGCAAACUCGAACCGGGAUAAAAGGGUAUUUUUUUAUUCCCACCUUCGAUUCCCGCCCGAAAUGUACCCUUUUAUCCCGGUUUCAAUUUGCAACGAGGAUAAAAGGGCAAGCUUUUGUCCUGGUUGCUAUUCGCACUUGGGACAAAAUCCCCCUUUAGUUUCGGGUUUAAUUACAAACCGGGAUAAAAGGGGGCAUAAAAGUAACAGUCAUCUUCUACCCCCCACCCUUCAACACUUCAGCAAAAUUUUCACCGCCACCAAGAUCCACGCCCGUCCGGCUUCUCCGUUGCUAGUCACCGUUCUCCUCGUCGCCCACCGCCCCGGCCGCCGUCGCCCGCUGCCCCAGGAGCCGUCACUCGCUGCCCUGGCCGCCUCGCUCGUGCUCGUACCGCCGCCUCCUCCGUUGCGUCCCCUCAUCGCCGCCGCCUCAAUCGCGCCGCCUUGUCGCUGCGUCCAUCCUCGUUGCCACCUCCAUCCCUGUCGUUGCCGCCGGCCUCCGCCCUCGUCACUACCUCCGUCCCCGUCAUCACUGUCGGCCUCCGCCCUCAUCUCUGCUGCCUCCAUCCCCACCACCACCGGCCUCCUCUGCCCCGACCUCCUCGUCCCACGCAUUACUACUCCGCCGCCCUAGCCGCCGUACAGCCCCCUCCCCCCGUCGCCACCGUAACCACCACCGGCCCUGGCUCCCGCACGUACGGUAGAACAUCAAUAGAAAUUUGUAGAAAAUCAGUAGAUUAGUAAAAGAUCAAUAGGAAAUUACUAUUAUUAGUUGAAACUCAAUAGGAAAUUACUAUGAUUAGUAGGAAAUCAAUAUAAUUUAGUUCAGUUGCAUAGUAUAAUUUUGUAUAUAUUUUGUAUAACUUUUAGAAAUUACUAUGCUAUUAGAAAUGAUUCAAAAAUUAGUAGAAAUUUGUAGAAAUUUGGUAGAAAUUCUUACAAGUUACUAGAAAUUUGUAGAAAUUUGGUAGAAACACUUAGAAAUUAGAAGAAAUUUGGUAGAAAUUCUUAAAAUUAGUAGGAAUGAGUAGAAAUUUUCUAGAAAUUCCAAUAAAUUAGUAGAAAUUUGUAUAAACACUUCAAAUUUUGUAGAAAUUCUUAGAAAUUAGUAGAAAUUUGUAUAAACACUACAAAUUUGGUAGAAUUUAGUUGGAAUUAGUAGAAAUUUGUAGAAACACUUCAAAUUUGGUAGGAUUCAUUCGAGACUUUCAUGUAUUGUUUCAUGUUGUUCUAUGAUUUCAUGUAUAUACCUUAACGUACAUAUAACUAUGAUUUCAUGUAACACAUUAAAGACAUUUCAUGUAAUUAAGUUUCAUUCAAGGCAUUCUUGUGUAUUUCUUAUAAAUUUUCAUGUAAGUUUCAUUUCAUGUAUAGUUUCAUGUGUACAUUUCAAUCAGUUUGUUGUUUUUCAUGGUUGUUCUAUGAUUUCAUGAAAAUACCUUAAUGUACAUGUAACUAUGAUUUCAUGUGUGUUUAAGAUCAAUUCUAGCAGACCCUCUAAACAGAGUCCCUAAUUCUAAUAAGGAGGUUAUGUAAAAAAAAAUGAAGUCCAGCAGGACCCUUAUUAGAGCCCCCAUUUUGGGAAGACCUCCAAAUUCCCUCCCACACCCCCUGGCCUGGAGGGUGCCUCCGCAACCCCCAUCCACGGUUAUUUUGGCAGCACAGACGUUUCGCGCACUUCUUUUCCUCUGCGGACCUUUUCCUACUCCGCCGCCGCCGCCUCCACCUCCCGCACACACACACACCGGUGCCCAUCGUCCUCCCCCACUACUGCCCGGUCGUGCGUGGACAUGGAUCCACAGCGUCCUUGCCUCACGGUGCGCUCUCUCCUCUCCUCCAUCUAGAUGCCGUCCCUGCGUCUCCUCGUCAGCGACGCCCCUCAAGCAGGUGUCUUGAUCUGUUGCCUCCCUCCCCAAGCUUACUUCUCCAGCAAGAUCAGCAACUACAGCGAGAAGAGAAGGUCAGGUACCUAUUGGUCCUUCGACUCUGUCCUCUUGUCCUUAAUUUCGAUUGCCUUGAACCUACCUCAGUUUAAGACAUUCAGGGCUCUGUGCUGGGUCGUGUAGGUUCAGGUUUCUGUUGGAGUAGUUGGGGGAGCAAGAACUGUGCCCAGCUAUUAUUCUGGACAAAGUUCUGUAUUCAAGAAUCAAUCUGUUGACUAGUAGAGUGAUCUAGGUUAACCAAUGGAGUAGUAGAUGCAUGGGUAUAAAUCCUUGUUUGUUGCUACUGAAACUGUUAACGAUGCAAAUGUACUUCCGUAAAGAACAGAAGUGAUUGUAUAUAGGCCAGUUCUGAACUUGCACAUACUUGUCAUGACAACAAAGACAUGAUAUGUUUGUGAUUCCUAGUUAUUUUCAACCAAGUUUGCAUAUAUAUGUUAUGUUUCUCCAUCAGAGGUUAAUAUCAUUCCAUUUUACUGAUUGAUUGUGAUAUAUUAACAAUCUGCUUCUAUGAUCUAUUUCAUUGUUUUCUUGUUGAUCUAAGUGGACUCUUAGGAGGAGGAAGUUAGGAGAACCAGUUGAUUCCUAGGAAAUUAAGUGUUAUAAGCUCUAAAACAGAACCAGUUGGUUCCUAUGAAAUUAAGUGUUAUAAGCAUAUGUCAGGAGAGAUUUACUGCAGCACAUGAUAGUUAUUCAGUAUUGUAUGAUUGUGCACUUUAAAAUAUUUGGCAUUAAUACAGUACUACAGUACAGUUCACCACUUCACGUUACAUUAUAUUGAACUUUCUUAGCUGAUGAACUGUGACUACCAGCAUGCCAAUCAAGUUCUGCAUAAUUAGUCAGCUUUUCCUUCCUAUUUCAGAGCUUGUUCUGUUCUUUUGCAGACUUAUAUUCUUCCUUUGACCCAUCAGAUUGCACACAUCAGUUGUUAGAUCAGUUGUACCAUUCAUGAUUACGAUUCCUAGAGAUUAGACCAAAUGCAUGUUCAAGCCUACACUAAUUUGUUAUGGUAGAAAUAUAUAAUGAUGAAACUUGUAUUGAAGGACUUUCAUCGUUUAUGAUUCAUAGAGUGCUUAGUGAACAUUUCCUGUAGUUGUGGGCAUGUAUAUCUUGAACAAUAAACAUGACUACAUGACAAAUAAUAGGAAAGCUUUAUUUUUUAGAUGAAUAGCAAUUUUCUUAUUUGAACAUGACAAUUUUUUUAUUUGAACCUGUUUUCUUAUUGGAACAUGACAAUUUUGCAAUAUUGUAGAUGGUCUUCUCCGAUGAUGAUGACCUCAUUGUUAUUCUUAUGCUUGCCGACAUGGACUAUGAGAGACACAAGAAGAAGCAUCGUGGUUCAGUCCCGGGACGUGAGGUAGUUUUGAGGGACAUGUCUAGUGGCAAUCUGGGCAUUGUAGCUGAUUAUUUUGCAGAUCCUCCAAUAUACAAUGCAACAUUCUUCAGGAAGAGGUUCAGAUUGUCAAGAGAAAUCUUCUUGCAUAUUGUGGAUGGUGUGGAGGCACAUGAUGACUACUUUAGGCAAAAAUUAAAUGCAACAGGUCUUCUCGGUGCCACGGCAUUGCAAAAGGUGUUUGGGUCAUUUUGCAUGAUGGCAUAUGAUGUUCCAGCUGAUUCAAUGGAUGAAGUUGUGAGGCUUGCUGAGAGCACCAUGGUAGAGGCUUUUCACCACUUUGUGCAGGUUGUGGUUGAGGUGUUUGGGGAGCAAUACUUGAGGCCACCUACUAUUGAGGACACUGCAAGAUUGUUGGCCAUUAACACUAAGAGGGAAUGGCCUGGCAUGCUCGGUUGCAUCGAUUGUAUGCAUUGGAGGUGGAAGAAUUGCCCAACAGCUUGGAAAAGGCAGUAUUCAGGGCAUGUGGAUGGGCCAACUAUGAUACUUGAAGCUGUUGCAUCUAAGAAUUUGUGGAUUUGGCAUUGUUUCUUUAGUCUACCGGGCUCUUUAAAUGAUAUCAAUGUCUUGCAAAGAUCACCAUUAUUUCAAAGGCUAACUUCAGGGACUGUACCACCUAUUGAGUAUAUGCUCAAUGGUAACAAGUAUACCAUGGGAUACUAUCUACCCUUCUUGGGUGAAUUUUGUGAAGAGCUAUAGGAGUACACAAGGCAAUAAGAAAGUCCAUUUCACAAAAGAACAAGAAGCGGUGAGGAAGGAUGUGGAGAGAGCAUUUGGUGUUCUACAAGCACGCUUUGCCAUGGUGAGGGGGCCUGCUAGAUUUUGAGAUAAGGACACUCUAUUGUAUAUAAUGACCACUGUUGUUAUCAUGCAUAACAUGAUCAUUGAAAAUGAGAGAGAUGAAAAAGAGUAUUACGACUAUGAUCAAGAUGGUGGUGAGGUACUGAGGCCGGAGGAGUACCAACGACGUGAUCCCCUCAUUCUUGAGGAGUUCCUCAAGAUACAUCAGAAGAUUGAGGAUAGACGUGUGCAUGAGAGACUUCAUGAUGAUCUUGAAGGGAUACGAGGUAGGCUACGCUAGCGCAAAUCAAAAUUUCUACCGCGUAUAACCAGGAAGAACUGCCGUAUAAGGAUCACGGGAUUACCACUCGACGCACUACUGGUGCGGAAGAUGUAGAUAUGCGUCGGUGCAGUGAAGACGAUCACGUAGUCGUACGUAGUCGAUCAACGUAGUCGUACGUAGUCGAUCACGUCCAGCAGCUCCUCAGCAGCUCGUCCACGUGCACAGCAAGAUCGCCUCCGGUGCCGCGGCUCGUCGUCAGCUCGUCGUGGCUCGUCGGCGGCUCGUCGAUGGCUCGUCCAAGUGCUGCAGGUGCAACACCUCCAAGGUAUCCACACGUGCAGGGAGGAAGCGUCGCAAGCCGGAUUGCUAGAUCCGCGAGUUGCAACAGGCGAGGGCGUGGGAGGCGCGGCAAGAGUGUUCAGCCAAAAGGUGUAAACCCUAGGGCGCCCCCACCCCUCUAUUUAUAGGGGUUCCUGAUGGGCCUCUGGAUCCGAGGCCCAUUAGUACUCCUAAACCUAAUCCAACUCGGAUCAAAUCCGAAUUGGGCUUCCAGCCCCUUAAGUGUGCGACCCUUUGGGUUCGGAUACGUAUAGACAUGGCCCGAGUACUCCUACUCGGCCCAAUAGUCGGUAGCGGCCUCUAGCAAGACGUGCCAACUCCUAUACGUACACGAAGAUCAUAUCAGACGAACCAUCACAACAUAAUAUACAUGCUAUUCCCUUUGCCUCACGAUAUUUGGUCUAGCUUCAAGCCGACCGCUCUUUCUCGAUCCUGUGAUUCGGAAUCCCUUUGUAGGUUAACUCUUAACCGUACGUAGCAUGGCCAUGCAUUUUUCGGAUCCGAUCACUCGAGGGGCCCAGAGAUAUCACUCUCAAUCAGAGAGGGGCAAAUCCCAUCUUGAUUGACCAUGUUUCAUAGCAUGCUUCUUGACAAACCCGAAAGCUACCUUUAUAACUACCCUGUUACGGCGUAGCGUUUGAUAGCCCCUAAGUAGGUCAAUCCACAUCUAGAAUACAUGCGACAAUCUCAGGUCUAAGGACAAAGCGUAUAUGUUGUUUAAAGAGAGAACUACUUCUCAUGUUGGGUCAGUCCUAACACAUGUCUCCACAUGUGUCCACAUUAUUAGUUCAACAUCUCCAUGUCCAUGACUUGUGAAACAUAGUCAUCAACUAAUACAUGUGCUAGUCUAAUAUUCAUGUGUGUCCUCACAUGAACUCCGACUAGGGACAACUUUAGAAUAACCAUACAAGUAAAGAGUUUCACAUACAAUUCACAUAAUUGCAAAUCAAUUCAAGUAGCCUUUAAUGGAUAUUCAAUGAACACAGUAUACAAAUCAUGGAUACAAAUGGAAUAUCAUCAUCUCUAUGAUUGCCUCUAGGGCAUACCUCCAACAGUCUCCCACUUGCACUAGAGUCAAUCUAGAAGGUACCUAAUACCCAUAGCUCUUACAUGCGCAUCAUGCUUAGCCUGUGGGAGUGGUUUUGUCAACGGAUCAGAAAUGUUCAGAUCCGUGUGUAUUUUGCAUAUCUUGAUCUCACCCCGGUUAACGAAGUCUCGAAUGAGAUGAAAUCGCCGCAUUACGUGUUUGUUCUUCUGGUGGUUCCUUGGCUCCUUUGCUUGCGCAAUUGCCCCAUUAUUAUCACAGUAGAGAUUCAAUGGGCUGGACGCAUUCGGGAACACACCAAGCUCAAUGAGGAAAUUCCUUAUCCAAACACCUUCCUUCGCGGCUUCCGAAGCCGCGAUGUACUCGGCUUCUGUCGUAGAAUCGGCCACCGUCUCCUGCUUGGAACUCUUCCAACUAACAGCACCACCAUUCAGUGUGAACACAAAUCCUGAUUGUGACUUUGAAUCAUCUCUGUCGGUUUGGAAACUAGCAUCGGUGUAACCUGUUACAACGAGCUCCUCCUGACCUCCAUAGACGAGGAACAUAUCUUUAGUCCUUCUCAAGUACUUAAGAAUGUUUUUCACCGCUGUCCAGUGACUCUCACCUGGAUCAGAUUGGUGUCUGCUUGUCAUACUUAGCGCAUAUGAAACAUCUGGGCGAGUACUUAUCAUUGCAUACAUGAUAGAUCCAAUAGCCGAGGCAUAUGGCACUCUACUCAUGCGAUCCCGCUCAUCAGCAGUCGAAGGACACUGAGUCUUGCUGAGAUGUAUGCCAUGUGACAUAGGCAAGAACCCUUUCUUUGCCUCUUCCAUGCUGAACCGCUUCAACACUUUGUCAAUGUAAGUAUCUUGGCUUAAACCUAUAAGCCUUCUCGAUCUAUCUCUAUAGAUCUUAAUACCCAGAAUAUAUGCCGCUUCCCCUAAGUCCUUCAUCGAAAAACUAUUUUUCAGUGAAGUCUUUACGGACUCAAGCAUAGGAAUGUUAUUUCCAAUCAGUAAUAUGUCAUCCACAUAUAAGAUUAGAAAUACUACAGAGCUCCCACUAACCUUCUUGUAAACACAAGACUCUUCUUCGUUCUUGGUGAAGUCAAACCCUUUGACCACUUCAUCAAAACGAAUGUUCCAACUCCUAGAUGCUUGCUUCAAUCCAUAAAUGGAUCUCUGAAGCUUGCAUACCUUUCCAGCAUUUUUCGGAUCGACAAAACCCUCGGGCUGUAUCAUAUACACGUCCUCAGCUAGGUUUCCAUUCAGGAAAGCUGUCUUGACAUCCAUCUGCCAUAUCUCAUAAUCGAAAUAUGCAGCUAUAGCUAGAAUAAUCCGAAUGGACUUAAGCAUCACUACCGGCGAGAAGGUCUCGUCGUAGUCAACUCCUUGAACUUGUCGAAAACCUUUUGCGACAAGUCGUGCUUUAUAGAUGUGAACAUUUCCAUCCAUGUCCUUUUUCUUCUUAUAGAUCCACUUGCACUCUAUGGCCUUAACACCAUCAGGCGGGUCAACCAAGUUCCAAACUUGAUUGUCUCCCAUGGACUCUAUUUCGGAUUGCAUGGCACUCUGCCAUUUUUCGGAGUCUGGGUCCAUCAUUGCUUCUGCAUAUGUCGCAGGCUCAUCAUUGUCCAACAAUAAUAUUUCCCGCAUUUCGCGGAGCCUUGCCGACCUUCGUGGUUGUGGCGGUGCUUCUCUUGCCAUGGGUAUCUCAACUUGUUCUGCUACGUUAGCAUCACUCAUUGGUUCUUGCCCGAUUGGCUCAUCUUGAACUUCUUCAAGAUGCACUGUCUUUCCACUCUUUUCUCCUUUGAGAAACUCUUUCUCUAGGAAAACCCCGUUCCGAGCGACAAACACUUUGCCUUCUGAUCGGUUGUAGAAAUAAUAUCCCAAAGUUUCCUUUGGAUAUCCCACGAAAAUGCACUUAUCCGACUUGGGUGUGAUCUUGUCCGACUGAAGUCGCUUGACAAACACUUCACAUCCCCAAAUCUUUAGAAAAGACAGACUAGGAACCUUUCCAGUCCAUAUCUCAUAUGGUGUCUUAACUACGGAUUUAGAUGGUACCCUAUUUAGUGUGAAAGCUGCUGUUUCUAGAGCGUAUCCCCAAAAUGACAACGGUAGGUCCGACUGGCUCAUCAUUGAUCGAACCAUGUCUAACAAAGUUCGAUUACGUCGCUCGGACACACCGUUUCUCUGAGGUGUUCCAGGCGGCGUAAGUUGUGGAACAAUUCCACAACUCUUUAGAUGAUUGCUAAACUCGUGGCUCAAAUACUCGCCUCCACGAUCAGAUCGUAAGGCCUUAAUUUUCUUGCCACGCUGAUUUUCAACUUCAUUCUGAAAUUCCUUGAACUUUUCAAAGGUUUCAGACUUGUGCCUCAUUAAGUAGACAUAGCCAUAUCUACUAAAAUCAUCAGUAAAAGUUAUGAAGUAUUGGAAUCCUCCUCUAGCCGUCGUGCUCAUUGGUCCGCAUACAUCACUAUGUACGAGUUCCAACAAGUCUACUGCUCUCUCAGGAAAUCCUGUGAAAGGUGUCUUGGUCAUCUUGCCUAGCAAGCAAGCCUCACAUGUCUCGUAUGAUUCAAAAUCAAACGAAGUUAGAAGUCCAUCAGAAUGGAGCUUCUUCAUGCGUUUUUCACUUAUAUGACCCAAACGACAAUGCCACAAGUAGGUAGGACUCAAAUCAUUAGGCCGAGGCCUUUUAGCACUUAUAUUACAGACAGGUGAACCAUCAAGAUUUAAAACAAAUAAUCCAUUCACAAUGGGUGCAAAAGCCAUAAACAUAUUAUUCUUAGAGAUCACACAACCAUUGUUUUCACUCGCAAAUGAAUAACCAUCCCUCAUCAAACAUGAAGGAGACAAAAUGUUUCGACUUAAACUAGGAACAAAAUAACAAUUAUUCAACUCCAUAAUAAAUCCUGACGGGAGGUGGAGUUGCAUCGUCCCGACGGUCAAAGCAGCAACUCUUGCAUUAUUGCCCACGCGGAAAUCAACUUCUCCUCUUUCCACGCUUCUACUUCUUAUCAUUCCCUGCAUCGAAUUGCAAAUAUGAGCAACCGAUCCGGUAUCAAAUACCCAAGAAUUAAUAACUGUAUCAGCGAGAAAUAUGUUGUCUAUAACAUUAACAACAAGCGUACCUGAGGUAGAAGUACUCUUACUUCCGCCGUUCUUCAACGAAGCUAGGUACUGCUUGCAGUUUCUCUUCCAGUGACCAAGUUCAUGACAGUAAAAGCACUCUUUAUCUGGAGCAGGUCCAGCUUUAGCCUUGGGCGCUGGGUUUGGCUUGGACACUCCAGCCUUACCCUUCUUCUUCCAAGAAUUGCCCUUCUUCUUGAAGGUAGGCUUGUUCUGUACAGCCAUCACAUGGCUGGUACUAGCGCUUUUCUUAAUGUCUACCUCUGCUGUCUUGAGCAUACCACACAGCUCAUUCAGACCCUUCUCCGUCCCAUGCAUAUGGUAGUUCGAGAUGAAGUUCCCAUAGCUAGGCGGAAGAGAUGAGAGAAUGAAGUCAGUGGCCAACUCUUUGCCCAUUGGGAAGCCCAGCUUCUCCAAUCGCUGAGUGUAACCAACCAUCUUGAUUACAUGUGGUCCUACUGCUGCGCCUUCUGCUAACUUGCACUCCAGAAAGGCUUUGGACACAUUGAACCUUUCGGUCCUAGCCUGUGUCUGGAACAUGUCCUUGAGCGCCACGAUCAUAUCGUAAGCCUCAUGAUUUGUUUCGAACUGCAUCUGCAGCUCGGGUUCCAUGCAAGCAAGCAUAAGGCAGCUUACCUCAAGAUUAGCAUCAAAUGUCUUCUUGUAAGCAGCCUUAACGGCAGCAGAUGCAUCAUCAGCAGGUACUGGUGGUAGUGGGGUGUCUAGAACAUCUUCCUUUUUCUCAGCCCUGAGAACAAUUCUCAGGUUACGGAUCCAAUCCGAGUAGUUUGUUCCAUUCAACUUGUCCUUCUCAAGGACCGAACGCAAAGCAAACGAUGCGGUGGUGUUGCUAGGUGCCAUUUAAUCUACAACAAAAGUAAUGCAAAAUACACUAAGACAAACGUAUCCAUGAUAGAGCAAAUUACAUUAAACUAUUUAAAUAGAAUCUACUCCCACUAAAAUCAAUAUCCCUCUAUUGAAACUUAGUGAUUCAGGAUCCACAACUAACAAGUCUACUAGUGAGCUUUAGCAUCACCGCUAGCAAACGAGGUAGAUCGGUAAGCAACUUUUGCUAAUCAUAUCACAUAUGACUCCUGUUGUUGGGUGACAUCUCUAUGUCUCGGCGCCCAACCUUUAUGCCCCAAGAUCCUUAACCGUUAAGAUGAUCUCGUUAAGCAAACCAACCCUUAUGCGUGUAAGUGUCCGACACAAACCCAUCUAGUCAAGGAAAACUAGUGGCACCCUAAUUUCAUAGACCCACCACUAAUUGUACAAGACAUGGGACGGUGCAAGUUUUAGUUGGGAGGGCAUACUAACUUAAAAUUUGCGAGGGAUCGUUCUACUUCUAACAUCACAGCAUGCAGAAAGUAAAACAUAAACAGAAUAGCAUUCACAUAGUUGUGACACAGUAUGGCCCGUUUUCAUAUGGUGAUCUCCAUCUCCAAAGAACCUGUUCACCAUGGUGAUCUCCAUCUCCAUGUUCCAUGUGCGCCAUCCUCCUGGUGAUGAGUCCUCCAAGAACUAGAGCAUGCUAUUACGCCUAAUAGCUAGUAAAGAAUCUAGUAAUGAAGAUUACAUAGUUGCUUGGAUCAUCACAGAUUGGUACGCAGACCAUUAAAUACAUUAAAGUGACAACACAUAUGGCUCCUGCCGUGUUGCCGUACGCGCGACACGCAGGUCACGAAUUAGUUACACACAUGCAUCACAUACACAAGGGGGCCAUACUGAUCACAAGAUACAAACAUACAUCCUGCAAAACAGAGUUAGGCGUCCUAACGUUCCAAACUUGGGAGGCCCGAAACUCCAUCUUCCAAGCCGAAUUUGGCAAAUCUAAUAUCGCCGAAAACGGCGAAGCCGUUGAAAUUCACGUGUAACUUUUUCUGUAGAUCAAUUUUCGUAUAGAAAUCGCCCCGAUCCGAGAUCGUACCGAAAAGUUACGGCUGAUUUACCGAAGCAUGCGCAUACGGCAAAAUCCCGACCCCGGCAGUAGAUCCCAUCUACCAUUGCACAUCUAAUGCGCCUGGCGUAUGACCCUGGAUCUCGAUUCGACCAAUCAUAUUGAUCUUCCCUCACUGCAACUGGAUUUACGUGUAUCACUUAACUCCGAUGGCGGAAACCGACCGGUAGGAGUAUGUCGUUACACUACCAUUGCAGCAAGGGCACGAAACCAGGACAUAGAUCAAACAGAAAACUCGCAUAUCUCCAUAUGCACACAUCCCGAAUCCAAAACUAAGCAGCUAAGGCUCUUGAUACCACUGAAGGGAUACGAGGUAGGCUACGCUAGCGCAAAUCAAAAUUUCUACCGCGUAUAACCAGGAAGAACUGCCGUAUAAGGAUCACGGGAUUACCACUCGACGCACUACUGGUGCGGAAGAUGUAGAUAUGCGUCGGUGCAGUGAAGACGAUCACGUAGUCGUACGUAGUCGAUCAACGUAGUCGUACGUAGUCGAUCACGUCCAGCAGCUCCUCAGCAGCUCGUCCACGUGCACAGCAAGAUCGCCUCCGGUGCCGCGGCUCGUCGUCAGCUCGUCGUGGCUCGUCGGCGGCUCGUCGAUGGCUCGUCCAAGUGCUGCAGGUGCAACACCUCCAAGGUAUCCACACGUGCAGGGAGGAAGCGUCGCAAGCCAGAUUGCUAGAUCCGCGAGUUGCAACAGGCGAGGGCGUGGGAGGCGCGGCAAGAGUGUUCAGCCAAAAGGUGUAAACCCUAGGGCGCCCCCACCCCUCUAUUUAUAGGGGUUCCUGAUGGGCCUCUGGAUCCGAGGCCCAUUAGUACUCCUAAACCUAAUCCAACUCGGAUCAAAUCCGAAUUGGGCUUCCAGCCCCUUAAGUGUGCGACCCUUUGGGUUCGGAUACGUAUAGACAUGGCCCGAGUACUCCUACUCGGCCCAAUAGUCGGUAGCGGCCUCUAGCAAGACGUGCCAACUCCUAUACGUACACGAAGAUCAUAUCAGACGAACCAUCACAACAUAAUAUACAUGCUAUUCCCUUUGCCUCACGAUAUUUGGUCUAGCUUCAAGCCGACCGCUCUUUCUCGAUCCUGUGAUUCGGAAUCCCUUUGUAGGUUAACUCUUAACCGUACGUAGCAUGGCCAUGCAUUUUUCGGAUCCGAUCACUCGAGGGGCCCAGAGAUAUCACUCUCAAUCAGAGAGGGGCAAAUCCCAUCUUGAUUGACCAUGUUUCAUAGCAUGCUUCUUGACAAACCCGAAAGCUACCUUUAUAACUACCCUGUUACGGCGUAGCGUUUGAUAGCCCCUAAGUAGGUCAAUCCACAUCUAGAAUACAUGCGACAAUCUCAGGUCUAAGGACAAAGCGUAUAUGUUGUUUAAAGAGAGAACUACUUCUCAUGUUGGGUCAGUCCUAACACAUGUCUCCACAUGUGUCCACAUUAUUAGUUCAACAUCUCCAUGUCCAUGACUUGUGAAACAUAGUCAUCAACUAAUACAUGUGCUAGUCUAAUAUUCAUGUGUGUCCUCACAUGAACUCCGACUAGGGACAACUUUAGAAUAACCAUACAAGUAAAGAGUUUCACAUACAAUUCACAUAAUUGCAAAUCAAUUCAAGUAGCCUUUAAUGGAUAUUCAAUGAACACAGUAUACAAAUCAUGGAUACAAAUGGAAUAUCAUCAUCUCUAUGAUUGCCUCUAGGGCAUACCUCCAACAGAUCUUGUGGAGCAUUUAUGGGCACUUCAUGGUUCUAGCUAGUAUGAUUAUUUGUACUUUGACCAUAUUUAAAUUUGAAUUUAAAUUGUCAUGUUUGAAAUUGUGAUUUUGAAUGUGGUUCAUUGCUAUGCUUUAGAAAUAUUUACAUUUGAAUUAUAGUGGUGUGAUAUGAAGGGCACAUAUGGAGAAGAUGUUGAAAAUAGGAGGAAAAAUAAAUAGGGGUUAAGAUUUAGAGGUCCUUGCUGGAGUUGAGUGUAGAAAAUGAGCCCCUAAAAAAUAGAGAGAGCCCCUACUUAGAAAGUAGGGGGCCUGAUUUAGGGACCAUUGUUGGAGUUGCUAUAAAGUAGUUGAGAUGGCAAAUGACGAGACCGCAAGGUAUCUAAUGGAGCGGAUUAUUGCUAGUGAUGCUAGUGGCUCCAACCUUCCCAUAACGUACACCGAUGAAGAGGGUAACCAGGCAGACAUGUUCCUCAACAUGUCUGGCUAUGGCAAUGAAGAGCCCGAGCCGUGGCAAAACCUUGCCAUGGCGGAAGUUUCCAGCGAGGUAUAUAUCAUUUCCAAUGUUCUGCCCUAUCUAUAAUGUCUUAUUCGUUAUUACUAUGUACUAAUUCAAGAAUCUUGAACUGUUAGCCCUCUGGAUCGAUGAACCGUUAGAAGCCCCGAAGUCGUACAAGGUUGAUGGAUGAAAGGCUUGUCAUCACGGAAGUCAUAGAAGAAGGCAGGCCGCUUGCUCCCGAAAAAGUAGCAACAAAGUACAUGAGUCAGAUCGGGGUAAUCGUAAGGGACAACGUGCCCAUCAACAUCAGGGAAUAAAAGGGCAAAAGUACUAAUCCAUACGCGCUCACGGAUACAGAAAAGAAUAUGCUGUGGGAAGAUGUCAAGAAACAUUUCACAUUUUCCAAAGGAUAUAUUCAAAAGGAUGUGAAAGUGUGGGCGCUGAAGAAGAUGGCCACACAAUUCCAGACAUUCAAGAAGAUGCUGGAUGCCAACUACAUUAAGAAGGGCCGAACCCCAGCUUUCGAUGUGUGGCCAAAGUUGAGGGACCACUGGGAGGCAUUUGUCAAAUACAAGAGGAGCGAAGAUAGUGUGAAUAAGGUCAAGACCAACGCUACAAAUGUUGGUCAGAAGGAGUACCAUCAUCAUCUAGGGUGAGGUGGUUACGGCACAACAAUUCCCAGAUAGAAGAAGAUGGAACAAGACCUGAUCGAUUAGGGUAUCGUACCAGCAACUAUUGAAUGGCCCGAUCAAUCAAAAAAUUAAUAUUACGUUCAUGGAGGCUUCCUGAGCCAAGAGGAUGGGACGCUGAUCUUCAAUGAGAUAAUACGUCACAAGGUUGAAAGGCUUAUCAAGAACAUUUAAGAUGCUAAGGCUGGGAGGUUGAAGGUGGACCGAGAGAAUGAUGAACUCACAUUGGCCCUCGGAAAUCCCGAGGACCCAGGACGUUGUCGAGGGUUCGGGGUCGUUCCAUGGAAGUUUGCUUUCUGAGGCGACAGCGCCUCAUACAGAAGCCGCAAGCGAAGAAAGGAACAGAUCGAGGAGAGCUGGUUGUGCAUGCUAGAAUCCAAAGUGCAUUCACAAGAAGUAAGAAUGCAGCAGGAAAUCAAUCGUCGAGUGGCCCAUGCAGUUGCGGAGUUGGCCCAAUCUGGAACACUGCCAGAUCCAAACUUUGCCAGCCCUUCUCAACGCCUCGGGAGCAACUGUGCUUCUACAGGGCUCCCAAAUCCGCGGACGCUAAGAUUACCCAUGGACGAGCAACGGUUCACUGUGGAUGCCAUCACGCAACGCACCUCAUGUGAGCUGCAUACACCAGUCGAUAACCUCACCAUUGAGGUAUACUUAUACAUAAUAUUUAUGCAAUCUUCUCAAUUGAUCUACGCCUCGGGAUAGGAGUUUAAUAACUUUGUUAUCUCUACUAUAUGUAUAGGUGGCGUACAAGAGUGCCUUACCUAUCCUGGCAGGGCACACAAGCCAUGGCAUGGAGAUUCCACCUGGCUACGCCAGCGUCGGCCUAGAGCAGCUCGCUGAUAGCCAAUAUGAAGGCCUAGAGCUCGACCUCCCGGGAGGUGAUGGGGAAAGGACACUAGCAGAUGCGCUCCAUGGGAUCAUUGUAUGGCGCAAAUGCUACAUCAUCAUCCCUAGCACGGAGGCAUCUCCUCAGAGCUCAAGACCGCUCCCCACAGAUCCCUAGCAGCGACCAUCUCGUCAAAGCUCAAGACCAUCAUCUCUAGCACAACCUGCUCCAGGAUCGUCAUCACCACCAGGACCAUCGCUUCCUGCUCGAUCAAGGUCUCCAUCUCCACCACAUCCUGGUGGUGGGAGUGACGAUGAUGACAACAAUACCCCUCCCCGAUCACUGUCACCAGGACUGAGAGCAGCCCCGAGCAAGGAACCUACAGCACCACUUAAGAUGUUGCGACCACCGCCUCCCAAGCCAAGACAGAGAAAGAAGAAACCAAAAGAGCCUGAAGUGACUCAUGAGGAACGCUAGGAGGCAAUGACUCAUGCGGAACGCUGGGCUGAAAUCCAAGCAGAGGCCAAGGAGUGGUUCAAGAAACAGGUCCAAGAAAAAAAGGAAGGAAGAUGGAGCCACCGCUAGUAGAUCGAAGAGAAUUAAUUUCUUUUUUAUUAGGAUGCAAGAAGAAGCUAAGAAGAUGAUACCACUACUAUAUCGAACUACAAACGGGCGUUAGUCAAGGCUGAUGAGAGGAAAAAAAGGAAAGGAAAGUCAUCUUCCAGUGGUGCUGUCCACGACCUCAGGCAUCUACCAGAAAAAUAUGCUAAAAAGAUAGCAGCAAUGCCCUUGGAUCAACAAGCACAAAUAUUGAAAUUCAUGGAAGAAAUAGGUAUGGGACUUGAUGAAUGUCUAGGGCAAGUUGAGCUGCCAGCUGCACCGCCAGUUGAACCAAGAUGGACCUUUGAGCUAGGCAAGCCUCUGGUAAGGCCUGAGUUGGUACGGAAUCUAUCAACAAAGAUGUACGAAUUCUAUCAAUGGUACAUGAUGUUGUCCGCCGACUCGAGGGAGAUGUUCAGCCUCAAGGUAAAACCGAUAGAUUUUUACGACGAAGGCGAGAAAGUUCUGUGGCUAGAAUUCAAGGAUAUAUAUGAAGUGUACCAUCAUGAUACCUUGGGCGUCUCUCUAAUCAGCGCCUGGGUUCUGUAAGUGUCCGUUUAUCUACAUAUAAAUUUUGGCUCAUAUCAUUAUUUUUUGUACGUCCGUCAUCAUACUAACUUCAUCUUCCAUUUUAUGUAGGAUACUAAUUCAGACGUGCCGACGAAAAGCGUAACUCCAUGUUGGCUUCAUGGAUCCAUCCGUAGUUAACCAAAAACAGAUACAGGAUGUGCCAGACAAAACCUUGGUGGAAGUAUACAAUUUCCUAAACAAACAAAAAUUCAAGUAUUUGAUACUACUUCCAUACAACUUCAAGUAAGUGUGUGUAUACCGUCUAUUUUCAUUUUCUUUUUCCUUACCUGAUUAACUUCAAGUUAGCUCUAAUAUAUAUGAACAUUUACGUACGCAACUUCUGGAUCCUUAUUAUAAUUGAGCGUGAAAGAAGCCACGUCACUAACUUCGAUUCGGUGAGGAAAGAUCCGGUGGAGUACCAAGACAUGUAAGACAUGCUAGACUUGUAAUAAUUCUGGACCUUUAUCUCUAUGCAAAAGUUCGUUCCUAAAUUUUCACCUAACACUAUAUCAUUCAUUAUUUUAAUCCGCAGCGCAUGGAGAUAAUUCAUCAGGACACACAAAGGUCCAUUCAAAGAAAAAUUUACAUGGAACACAGAUUUCCUGGUACGUAUGAAGUUUGCAUAUUUUAUACAUUCUAUAACGUGAAUAUUUCAUAACUUGUUCUUUUCCCCACUGAAGUGCCUAAGACAGGAACCCGGGAAUAAUCUAUGUAGCUACUACGUCUGUGAGCACAUGCACAGUUUUGUGGGAUCCAAGGGAAAGACGCCGCCACACAACUAUAAAGUACGUAAAAUAAACUAUAAAUAGUUAAUUAUUUUCUACCUCCUUAUAUUUAAUUGUUUGUGUAAAAUUCACAUGACUCCAAAUUAUAGAUGUUAAAUAUUCAACAGGGACUCUUGUAGAAGGAAAGAGUAGUGGCAAUAUGUGAAGGUCUCAUUGGAUUCCUGGUGGACGAGGUGGUAAAUUCACAAGGAGAAUUUUAUUACGAUGGAUGAAAAUUAGACGCUUCGAGCAACACCUCGAUGGGAAGAUCAUAGAUAGUUUGAUUUGUAUAAUGCUAAGAUUUGUAUAGUAUGCUAAGUAUUGUAUAUAUAGUAAUUGUAUAAAUACAUGUUUGAUUUGUUUAAAUACUAGUUUGAUUUUAUUAUAAAAAAAUCUCAACUAUUAAAGGUUAACUAAAGGGGUACGUGCAUGAUGCAUGAAAUUACAGGCGCCAUGCAGGCGCAUGCAUGGAGCACGCUUGAAAUUUCAAGCAGGACUUUAGUCCCGAUUGGAAAACCCAACCGGGACUAAAGGGGGUCCUGUACUCCUGGUUGGUAAAGGGUCCCGGGACUAAAGACUCCCCCUUUCGUCUCGAUUGGUUUAUCCCGGAUGGAUUUUUAGGAGAUUUGCUCCCUACCAACCGGGACUAAAGGUCUUUUUUCCACAAGUGCACAGUUAAUGCUGAGACAAAUGCAUCCACAUGCUUUCUACAUGCACUCAGUGCUAAACAUGGGAAAGGGGACGCCCGGCAAAGAUGGUCAGGCUCAGGCAUGCUGCCGUGUCCACGUAAUAGGCAGGUAGCAUCCUCGUCGCGUAUUGUAUGGUGUGGUUGUGUGGCCAACUCGCCCUCAUUCCAGCCGACGGGGCAGAGCCGGAGAGGCCGAGCUAUGCCAUGCGAAGAUGGCAUGCCGUGGCAAUGCACACCACCAUUACCAGCAUGGGCGUACGGUGUGGCCCUGCACAUAACACUGCGCCUUGCCCAAAAUAUAGAGACAUGGCCUGCUGAAGCAGUGACGCUGACGCAUCAUGAGGCAUGGGACUAUGGGAGAUCAAUGGGCCAUGCCGUGCCUUGAGAUACCGUACCAGUAUCUCGACGCUUCCGUAGCAAAAAUUCGCAUCCUGCCCAAAGCUGCCCACAAUUCUGGCGCUGUGAGACCGGGAGUACGUGGACAACUAGGAACAAUUUCGUACGAGGGGUGCUUGAUACCAGUGCUAAACUUUAGCAUGUGUCACAUCGAACGUUCGGAUGCUAAUUAGAAGGACUAAAUAUGAGCUAAUUAUAAACUAAUUGCAGAACUUUUAAGCUAAUUUGGGAGAUGAAUCUAUUAAGGCUAAUUAAUCCAUCAUUAGCAAAUGGUUACUGUAGCACCAUAAACCAUGGACUAAUUAGGUUUAAUAGAUUUCGUCUCGCGAAUUAGACUCCAUCUGUGCAAUUGGUUUUGUAAUUAGCCUAUGUUUAUUCUAAUUAGUAUCCAAACAUCCGAUGUGAUAGGUGCUAAACUUUAGCACGUGGGAGCCAAACAAGCCCUCAACUAGAAAGCUCCUACCUCCCAUUUUUUUAUACCAAUAAAGUUUAAGUAUGAAUUUGCAUCGGUUAUAUCCAUCGUGAAAAAAUACUUCAUCGGUCCCGGAUUCCCAAAUUAUAUGACAUUUUAGUUUUUUUAAUUUAUAGAUUUUGUGAUGCACUUUGAUAUUAUGUGUAGAUACAUCGUAAAAGUUAUAAAUUUAGAAAAACUAAAAAAUUUGGAACAGAGAGAGUAGUAUAAAAAAAACUCAAAUUGGCUAGAGCCUUGUAGUUAAUUAAUUUUACUUUAGGUUUCUGUAUGCUUCUUUUUCCUUGUGUUAAACUCUUUGUAUUCCAUCUUUGUUUUUUUGUUAAUCCGAUUAUACAGUCACUAGGGCCUUACGUCUCAUGUUUCCCAAAAAAGUUUUAUUAUGUGGUGUGCCCCCGAUCGGCAAGCAAUACGCCAAUACGAUGUCUCAUCUAUUUCGGGAGUCAGCAAUAUGAUGAUAUCUACGCUAUGCAGCUGAGAUUAGCCAUAUUUAAACAAUUCCCGGAUGGUUUUUUAUUGUUUGUCAUUUUUUUUCUCUUUACAUGUUGCAGCACCAUCUUUCAUAGCAAAUGCACGGUUAUAAAAAUAAGGUUUUUAAAUAGCUCGGUCUCGUGACGCUGUCGAGUGAUCAGUCAGGGAUGAGCAAUGAACCAGUAGUCUGUGAUGUGUGCAUAUCUUGACUAAGAAAAUUAACCAGGAGCAGCGAUGUGUUCUGUAGCCGCCAUGUCCAGGCUUUUGGUUCACGCUGACCCAGCCCGAGACCCGUGAGAGAAUCAACACGGGUGGCUGCUCAACUACAAUCUAUACCCAAGAGCGCAACCAGCUAUGAUUUUGAAGUUGUUCAAUACGUUAAGCCAGUCAACUGCGCCCACUGCAAGGCAAGUACUCCAGGAAGGAUGGUGCAAGCUGACCAAAACAAAAGGUCUCUGAUCCUUUUUUUUCGGCUAACAUGUCUUAUCAUGUUUUUCAUUGAGGAAGAAGAAACUCAAACCAUACAACAUCCCCGGGACAAACUAAUCUGACCACAUCUAUCUCAUCUUAUCACCAGCUGCAAAAUUUAGGUCAAUUCACGUGUAAUAUAGUCUCAAGUUACAGGUGCAAAUUUGAUAGGAAACAUAUUUAGAAUGACGAGGACAUGAUACCCAUGCAUACGAUCAUGUUUAGCACAUGAUAUAGAGGGCAAGGAGGCCAGCAAGGGUAUCCAAGUCAAGAAGGAGGCUCGAGGCUAAUUUGGUUCAAGUCCCCGAGGUGGAGCCCCAAAGCAACUCAAGUUCGAGCCUGUCUCGGAGUCCAGCAGCAGCACGUACUAAAAACGACACCCAGGUCGCAUACGGUGUCCGUUUUGGGUGUUCUUUAUAUAGAUGGAAACAAAAUUUCAUGGAGCUUCCAAUGGAACCAGUCUCACCUUAAAACUCGAUCGGAGUCAAUGGAAAUUGUUGAAACAAGUGGACAUUCAGAAUCUGUCAGGGUGCUGCGUCACCGUCUUUUGGGCCAUUGGCCCGUGUAUCGUGUUGGAGCCCAUAGGGGCGCGUCCAGGGGGGUCUCCACGAUCUAACCGUCAUAAAUUCAGUAGCCGUCGCCACAUUAGGGUUUAGGUUUUGUUUAGUUCUAGUUUUCCAUCGAGAAACUGAGAUUGAUUCAUUGUAACUGUGGUGACAAAUCCGUUUACAGUGAUCCAGGGACCCUGUUCUUGUUCUCCUCGCCUGUGACGAUUAGUCCAUUCGAAUCAAGAGGUCGAACCCCAUAUUUUAUCUUUGCUUCAUCCAUACUUGCAAUUUCAGAUUGCGUGUUUUACCGUUCUUGCUUGUUCUCUUCGAUUCGCUUGUAGAGAAAGCCUUCUCGGCGAGGUCAAUCAAGUUGUGCUUGGUUGAUAACCAACAGAGCAGCGGUGUAGCGGUUGCAAGGAUUCGAAUCGUGUCUAAUUAGAAGCCCGGAUCGUCAAUGUCGAAUCUCCACCCAAUCAAAUUUAUCACUACCUUUUGGAAGAUCAGGCCAGUGCUACAUCAUAGAAGGUUUUUUAUCAACUAGCACGUCACCUACCAUGCUGAAAGAAUAGCACCUGUUAAAUCCUGAAAUAAAUCUAGGAAAAUACUAGCACCGAUACCGAGUCGAGCACUCAAAUUCAGAUGGGUACGUUCCACCAUAAGGAACCUUCCACACAAAAUCUCUACAUCGAUAUGGUUAUGUGCAAAAUUAGUAAAGAACGGAUAAGUAGCUUGCAUGAUCAAAGUUUGUCAAGCCAUUGAUAGCAAGGUGUUUAUAAUGACUUCACCAACUUGAAAAUUUUGCGCACGUGUAUUUAUAGAGGUGGGUGUGCUCACGGACACCUUACAUAUUUAAACACAAAGUUCCAUCAUAUCACUUUUCCAUCUUCUCUUGAAUUAAAAAGCAUGCAAUUUUAUGAAAAGUAUUGUGGGGUACAUUGUACAUGAAUUUUAUGAAAAAUCUUACUAUUACUAAUUGAAAACUCCUUUUGAAGGUUUCACAUGAACCUACCUUGGAUCUUAGGUGGACAUUAUAGAAAGAGUGAGAAAUUCUCUUAAAAAAUGCAAACGUGUAGCCAUCAAUUCCGCAGGCUCAAAUCAUCAUAGCCAUUGGAUCUAUUUUGCUUUCUAAAAAAAUUUAAUCUAAUUGUCUGCAUGUUCAUUGUAUAGAAAUAUCCAAAAGUAAUCUAAUAUAUGAUUCUAAACCACCUAUUUUUACCAUUAUUGGGAGGAAGUGAUGAAAAGUACUGAUUUUCAUGUUAAACAUAAUGUGUGUAUGGAAGUGCGAUGCAAAGUGAAAAAAAGUAUGUAUGUGGAUGAAAAAAUGUAUAGAUUAAUUACUAAUUAAAAGUUAAUCAUACGGGAUAAAGAUAAGUAAAUAGCUAUAUGAGUAUUGUGUUAGAUUAUUAAAUAAAUGAGAGAGCCGUAAGCAAAUAAUUUUGAUUAUUUGAUUAUUAGUUAGGGUCUAAUAUAACGCCUCUUAAAAUUGUUGAUCCGUGUGAAAGAUAGACUAGUGCAACUAAUUGGUAGGUAGAUGCGAGUCCGGUUUAUGAUUGUACCAAGGGGAACCCUUUUGGUGAUUGAGAGAGGUCCAGGAAAAUUCUGAAAGAACACCAUGAAAAAUCGAAAGUGCCUCCUGGAAGCAGGGGGUCCGGUUUGCCAUCACUUGCAUGCUGAACAUAUCACAUCACUGCAGGUCGUUCAUGCUCCGUAAGAUAUCAUUCAGAAGGAAAGUCGCCGAAAGACGAUGACACUGCACUUUGGAAUCUUUGUAGUACGUUGGUAGGUAGAGAUCACAGAUGUUUCUUAGCGUUAGGAUAAUUUAGAUUCAUCGUGCGCGCAUACCAAACUCGCAAUGAUGCACGUGUUUGGUGAAGUGCAUGACAGUUGAUUCGGUCGCCAACAAACCUAAUCUAUAGGAGCUAACGCCUGUGGAGUUCGGCCACUGACCAUCAGGUUGUGUAUCCUCGCUGAUCCGAGGAAUUUUGACUUGAAAUAGAUGUCGCUAGACGAGCAACGAGAGAAAUAGAUGUUUCAUGUUUGAGUCGUUGUCUUUGAAGCAGAUCAGGUUAGUGUGUAGUUGGCGAUUUAUCGGUCUCAUUUCUGAAAACAAAAAAAAAA